AGCAUCCGAAGAGGUGGUGUUGAAACUCAAGGAAGGAGAUAUAAUACCAGUGCCCUCUGGAGCAGUUUCAUGGUGGUACAAUGAUGGAGACUCAGAACUAGUUAUCGUAUUCCUUGGUGAAACUUCCAAGGCCUAUGUUCCCGGAGAAUUCACAUACUUCCUAUUAACUGGAACCCAAGGAAUCCUUGGAGGUUUUUCCACUGAAUUUAACUCCAGAGCCUAUAAUAUCAGCAACGAAGAAGCCAAAAAGCUUGCCAAAAGCCAAACUGGUGUUUUGCUUAUUAAGCUACCAGAGGGUCAAAAAAUGCCCCACCCCUGCAAGAACAGUACUGAUAAAUUGGUGUACAAUAUUGAUGCUGCAUUACCUGAUAUCCACGUCCAAAAUGCUGGGUUGCUUACUGCCUUGACAGCAAAGAAGUUUCCCUUCCUUGGAGAAGUUGGGCUCAGCGCCACCCUUGUGAAGAUGGAUGCCAAAUACGCGGCAGAUUCGUCGGUUCAAGUAAUUUAUGUUGCAAAAGGGAGUGGAAGGAUUCAAGUUGUUGGCAUCAAUGGUGAACGUGCCUUGGACACGAAAGUGAAGGCUGGCCACUUGUAUGUUGUGCCAAGGUUCUUUGUGGCCUCUACCAUUGCAGACGGUGAAGGACUGGAGUACUUCUCAUUGUUAACAGCUACACAGUAAGCAUCAAUCUAACAAAUUGUUUUCUCUUUAAACAUCAUUGAUUGUGGGGUUAAUUACUAACUAUUUGUUACAUGUCAUUUGUUUGUUUACAGACAUGUAUUUGGCUAAUUUACUGGGAAAACAUCAGUAUGGGGAGCAUUAUCUCCACAAGUUUUACAGGCCUCGCUCAAUGUGGCUCCAGAGUUUGAGCAGCUUUUCAGGGCGAAGAUAAAAAAGGGCACCAUUCUUGUUCCUCCACAGAACUAGAUUGAUUAAUAACCAAGGGCCCUUAUGAUGUAUCAUCAUUUGUUUUCAGGAGUUACAGGGCUAUCAAAAUACAAUAAUUGUACUCCUAAGUAUUUCUUUUAUAUGUGUAUCCGUGAGAUGGAAAAUGUUGUACAACUAUUAAUUAUAUGGCAAUAAAUUAGGUUAUGAACCUUAGUGUACUCAUUCUGAGUGCAUAUAUAUUUGUCUAUGAGAGUGAUGGUUUUAUUCCCAUCAUUAACCCUAAUUGACUAAUGAAAGUGGACAAUGCUAUCAUCUCUUUCCUUCAAUCAAACUGUCUAUGAGAUGUAGAUGAUCUUAUACCGAUCAAAACCUACAUAAUCAUUCAUGUUCUUGACACAAUACCUCAUGCUUCUUAAUGAAUGAAUAUUUCAACUUCAUACCGAGACUGACAAAUUUUGUAUCCUCUAUUUUUGUUGAAAGAAUCUUUCAAGAUUGCUCUUGAAAACUUGAGAGGUGGACAACUAUGACUAAAGGGACUAGUUUGCAUAUAAAUUUCAAAAGUAGUACAAUCUUCAUAUUAUGCAUGCACCGAAGCCUAAUUUGCCCAAAAAUUCAUCAACUUUAAACACAAAAGGAGAUUCACAUGUUUUAUUUUAUGUGGACUUUAAACUAUAUACCAACUUUAAGAGUACUAGCUUUGCACAAAAAGAGAUUCGCAUGUUUUAUUUUAUAUUGACUUUAGGAAACAAGAAAUGUUGACUUUUGGGGCAUGAAAUUCAUAUUAAAAGUCACCAUCGAUCUUUUUUUUUGAGUUUUUGAUAUUUAUAUAGCUUUAUUAAAAAAAUAGUAUUACAAAAUUACAAUUAUAAGAAUAUUUAGGAUUUCAAAUUUAUGACUCUUUGUGAAAUUUCAAUUGAAAGUUUUUUGUUUAAAGAGAUAACUUCACUAGGAACUUAUCUUAAAAUUUAAAAAAAGAAAAAAAGAAAAAAAAAAAGAGGAAACAAAAGAUUGGACAGCAGGAGAUUCUUAUGUUUUAUUAUUUUAUGCCACCAUUUUGUACUAAGGAAAUGAGACAAGAAAUGUUGACUUUCGGUAUGAAAUCCAUAUUAAAAAGUCACCACUGUUUAUUGGUUACCCUAAACCCAUUUUAAGGGCAUGAUAGUUAUUUCAUAUCUCAAACUUGAAGCUUCAAAGUGUAAAUGAUUCAAUCAAUCAUAUUGUAAUCCGAACGUUACUUAGUACCAAAAUGUCAACUUUAAAACUAACGCAUCAACCAAGAUACUAUUAUCCAUAUAACUCCAAACUCAAAUAAUUCAAAUAUUAAUUAAAUUCUAACAUAUUAACAAUGUCCAAAAUAAAGUUUGAACCAAAAUUCUAAUAAAGACAAUUAAUUCCCAGCCUAAACAUCACUUCUUGCCCAAAUUGAGAGUAUCUGGAAAAAAAAAAUGUUAACGAAAGAGAAUGAGCCCAAAGCCCAAUAAGAAAUAUUAAUACAAUUUUAUGGAUCAAACAUUUUUAAGUAUGAUUAUAAAUAGGAUAUAUAAAGUACUUUUUUUUUAUAAAAACUUUUGAGUUCAAAUAUGCUAAAACAUCUAAAUCUUUUCAACAUUUUUUUUUCUUCAUAUUUAUGUCAAAACAAUUGCAUAUCAAAUCUAAAUCAAACACCUUCAAUAUAUUUUUACUUUGGUCAUCAAAUAACAAAUAAUGUCCAAUUAGGUAAGACUUUACAAAUGAGUGAUUGGCCUCAAAUUUGUUCAUUUUAAGAUGGACAAAACCAAAUACUACUAAUUCUAGUAGUCUUUAACCAAAUCCCUAGAGGUUGAGAUUCAAAGUAAUUACAUUUCCACCAAGAAAUGUGAAGGUAAACUAUUAUAUCCACUUGAUAAGGGCCGAAAAUGUCAACUAUUAUAUCCCGAUGACUAGGAUAAAAUAAAUUAGAGAGUCAAACACUUUGUUUCAUUUAUUCAAACUUACAAAAGCAUAAUAUCUCCAUAUUUUUCUAUUAUAAUAAAAAAGAAAAAUGUUCUAAUAUAUAUAUCAUGCAAAAUAUGUUUGAUCUAUGUAUAAAAACAAAAAUAAUAUUUUAUACAUUUGAAAAUAACAUAUAAAAAGAAAACCAUUUUCUUUUACAAAAUCUGCAUUAAUUUUCCUUACCUUAAAGAAGCACUAAAAAACCUUGAAGAAAUUAAUUGUCAAUAAUCUACCCAUUACCUAACAUAACAAAAAAAAUAAAAAUAAUAAAAAUAACUACUGCUAUGAGCUAUUUAUCUAAAAUUUAUAAAUUGGACAAUCCAAAUAAUAUUUUAUAUUAAUAUUAGCAAUCCUAAAUAAUUUCCAAAGCUAAUAUUAUCUUCACUAAUAUUAUUUUCAACUUCCUAAUCAAUGACAAUUGAAUUAAAGAAUUUCCAAAUUUCCAUAAAAUAUAUGUUCUUUCCAAAAAUCUAUUACCAAUAAUCAUUCAAUGUCUAUAUAUUUUAAACUAAAACUCCUAAAAUUGUUUUCUUUUUUGUCUUGUAUUAAAUUAUUAUUAUUAUUAUACCAACUUUGUACUUCACCAAAUUCUCAACAUUUAUUUUAAUUUUUUUUUUCACUCACCCAUGUCGAGUUUAGUCCUCUAAACUUGACAUAUCUGAAUCUAAAAAAAAAAAUUGGAUGUUUCUCUCAUCUCCUCAUCUAAUUCCCAAGUGGCCUAUCGAAUACUGUAAUUGCUCCAUUGAACCUCUACCAACUUGGCAAUAGCAUAACCUAGUACCUUAUCUAUCACAUCUACAAUCAAAAUGGGUACUUCUUCAUCAAUCAAAUCCUUUGACAUUUGAAUAGGCUCCAACUCUACAAUAUGAGAGGGAUAAAAAACAUACUUCCUCAAAGCCGAUACAUGAAACACAUUAUGAAUCUUAAACAAUCUUGGGGACAACUCCACUCUAUAUGCCAAGGUACCUACUCUUUCCAAGAUUUCAAAUAGUCCCACAAAUCGAAGAUUAAGCUUUCUGUUUCUCUCGAAUCCCAUCGUAGACUUUAUAGGCAAAACCUUUAAGAGAACAUGAUCACCAACCUUAAACUCCAAAUCUCACAUGUGAUUAUAAACAUAACUCUUUUGUUUAUUUUGAGCUGCUUUCAAUCUUUAUUUAACCAAGUCAACCUUUUCAAUAGUUAACUGCACAAGUUCAAGCCCCAAAAGUUUCCUCUCUCUAACAUCAUUCUGAUAAAUAGGAGAUCGACAUCUCCUACCAUACAACCCCUCAAAAGGAUUCAUCCCAAUGCUAGCUUGAAAGCUAUUAUCAUAGGUAAACUUUACUAAAGGUAAUUAAUAAUCUCAAUUACCUUUCAGGUCUAUGGUAUAAGCUCUCAACAAAUCUUCUAAAACCUGAAUACCCUUUUUAAUUGACCAUCGAUUUGAGGAUGGAAAACAAUACUAAAACUCAACUUAGUAACCAGAGCUUUCUAUAAACUAUGCCAAAAUCUAGAAGCAAAAUGAGGAUUCCUAUCGAAUACUAUAGAAAUAGGUACCUUAUACAUUCUUACAAUCUCCUUGACAUAAAGAGAAGCCAAUCAGUCCAUGGAGAAACUAACUUUCAUAGGUAGAAAAUGAGUAGACCUUGUCAAUCGAUCAACAAUCACCCAAAUAAAAUUAUUAUUGCCUAAGUGGUAACCCUAUCACAUAAUCCAUGGUAAUAUGUUCACAUUUCCAUUUAGGAAUAGAAAGUGGUUGCAAAGACCUUAUUGAGCGUAUAUGCUUAGCUUUCACCUAUUGACACGCCAAACACUAAGCCAUAAAUUGUGCAAUAUCUUGCUUCAUGCCUGACCACCAAUAAUUUUACCUCAAAUAUUUGUACAUCUUCAAGCCUCCUACAUGGAUUAUAAGUUUAGGACAAUGAGCUUCCUUCAAAAACUCUCUCCUUAAGUCUCCAUCAUUUGGGAAACAAAGUCUAGUCCCAAAUCUUAAGAUUUCAUCAUAUGAUAACAUAAAGUCAAGCAUACCACUCUUCUUAACUUCCUUCAUAAGUUGGACCAAUUGCAAAUCAUUCUUUUAUAGGGUUUUAAUUCUCCUAACCAAGUCUUGUUGUAUUAUGAAAUUCACUAUAAGAGCUCUUGAGUUCCGAACUCCGAUAUGGAUUUGUAAACACCUCAAAUCCUCUAGUAACCGCCUCUAACAACUUCUAAUAGUUGCUAAGGAACCAACUAAUUUCCUGCUCAAGGCAUGAACCACAACAUUUUCUUUCUUCGGAUGAUAUUGAAUAAUGUCGUCAUAGUCCUUAAGUAACUCUAUCCAUUUCCUUUGUUUCAUGUUUAAUUCUUCUUAGGAAAACAAAUACUUCAAACUCUUAUGAUUUGUGAAUAUCUCAUAAGUUUCACCGGAAAAGAAAUGUUUUUAAAUCUUAAGUGCAAAAACACUACAACUAGCUCCAAAUCAUGAGUGGGGUAGUUUUGCUCACAAGGCUUUAACUGUCUAGAAGCAUAAGCCACAACUUUCUUAUUUUGCAUAAGAACACACCCCAAACCCUAAUGAGAGGCAUCAUUAUAUACUCACGUUCCUCUACUUCCUGAGUACACUAAAAUAUUAUCUAUAAAAACCACAACAAACUAAUCUAGAUAGGGUUUGAAUACCCUAUAAGUCCAUAAAGGCAGUAGGUGCAUUAGUUAAACCAAAAGGCAUAGUAAAAAAGUCACAAUGCCAUCUAGUUUCAAAAAACAUUCUUGGGUACAUCCUCAUUUCUAACCCUCAAUUGAUGAUAUCCAGACCAAAGAUUAAUCUAAGAGAACACACAUGCACCCUGAAGUUAAUCAAACAAAUCAUUAAUUCGAGAAAGAGAAUACUUGUUUCUCACCAUCACCUUAUUCAACUCUCUAUAAUCAAUGCAAAGUCUUAUUAAUCCAUCCUCCUUCUUCACAAAUAAAAUAGGAGUUGUUUUCACAAAUCAUGAAUCUGAGGAAGAGAAUACUUGUUUCUCACAGUCACCUUAUUUAACUCUCUAUAAUCAAUACAAAGUCUCAUUGAUAGGUCAUUCUUCUUCACAAAUAUAAUAUGAGCUCCUCAAGGUGAAACAUUGGGCCUAAUAAAACCUUUAUUUAACAACUCCCGAAGUUGAAUCUUAAACUCUUUAACUUUUAUAGGUUCCAUCCUGUGUGAGGCCUUAGAGAUAGGAUUUCUUCAUGUUACCAAAUCAAUGGUAAACUCCACAUUCCUUUAGUGGCAAGCUAGGCAAAUAAUCUAGAAAGACAAAAGGAUAAUUCCUUACAAUGGAUAUGUUCUCUAACCUUAAAUCAUUUUCAUAACUCACCACAUAUGCCAAAAAGCAUUGAUAACCCUUCCUUAUCGACCAAAUAACUAGUUUGCAAGGUUGAGAUCAUAUGCAAUGGUAUGUCCACAUGUUUCCCCUUAAAACUAAACUUGAGUUGACAAAAAAAUGUGAAACAUCACCAUUUUUCCAAAACAAUCAACAGAGGCAUGAUAGGAAGCUAAUCAAUCCAUUCCUAAAAUCACAUUAAAAUGCCAAAGGUCAAGGAGUACUAAGUUAACUAACAUCUCCCUAUAACCAAUAUAUCAUCAUAAGAUAAUCUUUAAGCAUUCUAUUGGCCACAUUAGAAUCUCCUAAAGGAGUAGCAACAUUAAUGAAAUCAAAGUCCAUGCUAGCCACUGACAUACGUAACAAACUAAUGAAAAAUAUUAAAACAAAAUAGUGCAUUGUGAUUGGAUUCACCACUAAGAAACCAAUUAGGCAAUUUAAAAUUAUGAGGAAGAAGAUGUAAGAAUUUAUACUAGAUGAAGCUAAAACUUAAACUAAUGUGUCACUCAUCUAUCCCUAAAGUAAACUAAAUCAGUUUCCCAACAAGAUCAUAAGCUAAUGCUCUGAUACCAUUUUGUCAUGCCCCAAAACCUACUCUAAGGGUGGGAUGGUCAUUUUACAUCUCAAGCUUAAAGGCUUAAAGUGCGAACGAUUCAAACAAUUAUCUUAUAACUAGAAGGUUAACAAUUACUAAAUUGUUGUUCAAAGUAGUAAAAUUAAACAUUUCUAUAAUUCUUAAAUCUCAACUUUAAAACUAACACAUCAAUCAAAGUACUAUUGUCCAAAUAUCUCCAAACUCAAAUAAUUCAAAUAAUAAUUAAAUUCUAUCAUCUAAAUAAUAUCCAAAAUAAAGUUUAAAACAAAAUCCUAAUAAAGGCAAUUUCUUAGCCUAACCAUCACUCCUCGCUUGAAUUGAGAAUACUAGAAAAAAAAUUGUCAACAAAAGGGAAUGAGUUUAAACUCAAUACGAAAUACUAAAAUAGUUUCAUAAAUCAAACAAUUUCAAUUAUGAUUACAAAUAAGAGAUACAAUAUACAAUCUUUUUCAUAAAAUGAGUUUGAAUAUACUAAAGCAUCCAAAUCUUUUCAAUUAUAUAUAUAAUUUUAUAUCAAAUCAUGCAUUCAAAAUAUUUUACUUUAGUUAUUAGAUAAGAAAUGAUGCUCAGUUAAGUGAGACUAUACAAAUGGGUGGCUAGCCUCAAAUUUAUUGUUUUUAAGGUGGAUGAAACCAAAUACUAUUGAUACUAGUAACCUCUAACCAACCCCUUAAAGGUUGAGAUUCAAAGCAAUUACAUUCCCCACCAAAAAAUAUAAAGGUUAACUAUUAUAUCUCGUUGAUAAGGACAAUAAAGGUUAACUAUCAUAUCUCAUUAAUUAGGACACAAAAUAUCAACUAUUAUAUCUUGUUGACUAGGGCCAAAUAAAUCAGAAUCAAACACUUUGUUUCAUUUAUUCAAAUAUACAUAAACAUAAUAUCUCUAUAUUUUUUUGUUAUAAUCAAAAGAAAAAUGUUUUAAUAUAUUUUUCACGCAAAAUAUAUUUGAUUCAUGCAUAGAAACAAAAAUAAUAUUUUACAUAUUUGAAAAUAACAUAUAUAAAAAAAUAAAUUUCUUUUACACAAUUCACAUUAAUUUCCCUUAUCUCAAAUAAGCACUCAAAAACCUUCAAGAAAUUAAUUGUGUAGAAUCUACUCCUUACAUUACAUAACAAAAAAAAAAAAAAAAAAACUAUUACUAUUGACUAUUUAUUUAAAAUUUAUAAAUUUGGCAAACCUAAUAAUAUUUUAUGUUUGUAUUAGUGAUCCUAAAUCAUUUCUUAUGCUAAUAUGAUUAUCACUAAUAUUAUUUUCAACUUCCUAAACCAUAACAAUUUAAUUAAAGAAUUUCCAAAUUUCCAUAAAACAUAUGUUCUUUCCAAAAAUCUAUUGUCAAUAAAUCAUUCAAUCAUUCAACCCUACAUUUUGUUUGAUAUUUUGGGACAAGAGCAUCUAUUUUCAAGCCCAUGUGUAGCAAGAAAGGAAUUUACUUCCAUUAUAAGAUUAUAAACAUUGUAAUCGACAAUUGAAAUUAUUUUCAGCUAAGGUUUUGAACUUAAGAAAGGUAGGCAAAACUUGAUCUUUAGUAUGUAAGGGAUAAAACCAAGAAAAAUAAGAAAAACUAUCAAGGAAUAUUAAGAAAUAACUUGCACCAGCUGUGGAGAUAAUAGUGGCAGGACCUCACAAAUCGGUAUGAACUAAAGCAAGAGGAUGAGAAGCUCUAGAUUCAGAAAAUUGAAAAUGUAAUCUCUGGCUUUAUGCAUAUUAGCAAGCACAACAAACCUUAUAUCUAUGGCAGUCUUUAGAGAUAUUACAAGAUGUAAGAAUUUGCUCCAAAGUAUUAUCAACACGAUGACCAAGAUGGGAGUGCCAAGGUUCACCCAAGUUAUCCAAAUUCGUAACAAUAGAGAAACCAUGACAGGAAGUAAAGAGGGCUGAAGGUGCAUCAUAAUAUUUAUUGUGUUUCCAAAAAUAAAUUAAUACAUUAAAUCCAAAAUCUUUUAUUUAUUUAUUUAUUUAUUAAUAAUUUUAAGAAGGUAGCUAUGAAUUGGAUAUUUAAAAAAAAUCAUUUUACAAUAAUUAAUCCCUCUCUAAUUUAUUUUGCAUGCAAUGUGAUAUUUCAUCCUUAUUAAUCAAAAUAAAUGUUCCCAAAAAUAAUAAAAUUAAAUAAUAUAAACUUUAAAUUAUCAACUAUCAAGGUGUUCAUUUUGUUAGAUUCAUUAAAUCGAGGCCAACAUGUAUUAAACCAUAAAUUUAAUUAUUUUUAUAUUUGUCCAAAUAAUUCAAAAAAUUAAUAAAAUAUUUACAAGCUAUUGCAUAGUGGUAGAACAUGAAGUUUUGGUGGACCUUAUCCCACGAGGGACGUUGAGAAGCUACUUACAAAGAUAAGGUUCCUGAUAAACCUUAUCUCACGCAUCAUUCGUGCUUAUAAUUCCUUUACUUUUCAACUUUGUGAAGAUAUUUUUUUCAUUGAAUAAGAAAAUGUUAUGAUAAUAAUUUCCAACGUGUGAUAAUUGGAAAAUUUGAGAAGGAAGAACAAGGGCAUCAAUUUUUAGGCAGUAGACAAAAAUGUCAAAUUUCCACAUGUCCAAAAAUGUUGAUUCGCGACAAAACAUACGUCUCUUUUAGGUAUUAUCAGUUUGUUUGAUUUUGAAAUUUGAUUUUUUUUAUAGGGGCUUUUUGGAUACAAAAUUUUUACUUGUAGCGUUUUCUCAAGUAGAAAAUUUUUACAAGAUAACACUAAUUUUAGAUAUACUUUGCCACCAUCAUCUCUCCAAGGGAACGUCUCAUGCACCAUUCAAACUUUAUGGUUAUAUUUAUCUUUUGAUUAAUUGUAUUGCAUGCAAUUUUGUCAAAGCCCAAUAUGAACUCAAAUUCUAUAGAAAUAUUAGUCUGUGAAGAGUUUGAAAACCAGGAAGAGAUGAUGAAUUUGCAGAAGUCAAAAGAAAAGGAUAAAUCUUCCAAACUCUAGAAGAUGGAUUGUGUGAAAAGCAAAGAGAAAAAUGUAUUAUACAAGUAAAGUCCAGAAGAUGGGCAAUUUUCCUACUCAACCCCUCCUGAACUCUAUAAAUACUCCCCUAAUCUUCCUCAUAUUCAUCUCUCAAAAGUCUCUCUUCAUCUCUUUCAUAACAUUCAACUUAGUCUCUUUCUAUUGUUUCUCAUAAAAUCAAGGUUUGUACUCACUCUUAUCUAUCUAUCUAUCUAUCUAUAUGUAUAUGUUAGUGGCCUUCAAUGUACACAUCUGAGAACUAUGGAUGAAUGAUAUGACCUGAAUUUCAAGAUGAGGGUUGAGCUUGUUUUUUCCACAUUAGCCCACUUUGUCUACUCUACCCCAUUACUCCACCUGAUUUUCAUUAUCUCUCUACAUGAUCUUAAUCGUAGUCUUAACCUUUUGAUCUGUGUUUUGCAGGCAGUCGUUCAUUUGCUUUCUUUCAAAUAUACAGACAUAAUCCAUGGAGUUGAACUUAGCACCAAAGUUUGCACAAAAGAUCUUCGAAGGAGAAGGUGGAACAUAUUACCGUUGGUCAAGUGCUGAAUAUGAAUUGCUCAAGGAAGCAAAGGUUGGUGGUGGAAGGCUUGUUCUGCAGCCUCGUGGCUUCGCUCUCCCUCACUAUGCUGACUCCAACAGAAUUGGUUAUGUUCUUCAAGGUCUGUAAAUCCCCGAGCUUUUUAUGUCUUAUUCUUGAUUAGAACUCUUUUUCUAUUUCUUUUUCUUUUUCUUUAGAGAAUUGUUAAUUAUUCCUCCCUAAAAUCUCUUCUCCUCAAUUUUCUUUUCUUUCUCAAAAAUUAGAACAAAAAGAGUGCACACAGCCAUGGUAGUCGGCUGUGACUGGUGUGAGAGGGAGAGGGGGUCGCCAUGACAUGCAAGAAUGAAAAAGAGAAGAAAGGAACAAGACUAGAAUUGAAGAAAGAAAAGGGAUAAGAGAGAGAUGAAAGAAGUUGAGGGCUAGGGUUAUAUUUGGGAAAAGGAAAAAGAAAUUGAAAAGAGAGAGAGAGAGAGAGAGAGAGAAAGUGGGCCCUUCAAUAUUUCUCUUUCAUUUUUUUUUUAUGUUUCUGUCAAAAUGAUUCUCCGAUAUUACCCACUGUGCCAUCAAACCCUAUCCCAGUGGCUCAUUUAUGAAAAUAUAUUUUGUCCACAUCCAGGCAGCUGUGGAGUAGUUGGAAUGGUAUCACCCAAUGCAUCCCAAGAAGUGGUGUUGAGGCUCAAGAAAGGAGAUAUAAUACCAGUGCCCUCCGGAGCAGUUUCAUGGUGGUACAAUGAUGGAGACUCAGAACUAAUUAUCGUAUUCCUUGGUGAAACUUCCAAGGCCUAUGUUCCCGGAGAAUUCACAUACUUCCUACUAACCGGAACUCAAGGAAUCCUUGGAGGUUUUUCCACUGAAUUUAACUCCAGAGCCUAUGAUAUCAACAACGAAGAAGCCAAAAAGCUUGCAAAAAGCCAAUCUGGCGUCUUGAUAAUUAAGCUACCAGAGGGCCACAAAAUGCCCCACCCCUGCAAGAACAGUACUGAUAAAUUGGUGUUUAAUAUUGAUGCUGCAUUACCUGAUAUCCAUGUCCAAAAUGCUGGAUUGCUUACUGCAUUGACAGCAAAGAAGUUUCCCUUCCUUGGAGAAGUUGGGCUCAGCGCCACCCUUGUGAAGCUGGAUGCCAAUGCCAUGUCCUCACCGAUGUACGCUGGUGAUUCGUCGGUUCAAGUAAUUUAUGUUGCAAAAGGGAGUGGAAGGAUUCAAGUUGUUGGUAUCAAUGGUGAACGUGCCUUGGACGCGAAAGUGAAGGCUGGUCACUUGCUGCUUGUGCCAAGGUUCUUUGUGGCUUCUGCCAUUGCAGAUGGUGAAGGACUGGAGUACUUCUCAUUGAUAACAGCUACAGAGUAGGCAUCAAUCUAAUAAAUUGUUUUCUCUUUAAACAUCAUCGAUUGUAGGGUUAAUUACUAACUAUUUGUUAUUUGUNNNNNNNNNNNNNNNNNNNNNNNNNNNNNNNNNNNNNNNNNNNNNNNNNNNNNNNNNNNNNNNNNNNNNNNNNNNNNNNNNNNNNNNNNNNNNNNNNNNNNNNNNNNNNNNNNNNNNNNNNNNNNNNNNNNNNNNNNNNNNNNNNNNNNNNNNNNNNNNNNNNNNNNNNNNNNNNNNNNNNNNNNNNNNNNNNNNNNNNNNNNNNNNNNNNNNNNNNNNNNNNNNNNNNNNNNNNNNNNNNNNNNNNNNNNNNNNNNNNNNNNNNNNNNNNNNNNNNNNNNNNNNNNNNNNNNNNNNNNNNNNNNNNNNNNNNNNNNNNNNNNNNNNNNNNNNNNNNNNNNNNNNNNNNNNNNNNNNNNNNNNNNNNNNNNNNNNNNNNNNNNNNNNNNNNNNNNNNNNNNNNNNNNNNNNNNNNNNNNNNNNNNNNNNNNNNNNNNNNNNNNNNNNNNNNNNNNNNNNNNNNNNNNNNNNNNNNNNNNNNNNNNNNNNNNNNNNNNNNNNNNNNNNNNNNNNNNNNNNNNNNNNNNNNNNNNNNNNNNNNNNNNNNNNNNNNNNNNNNNNNNNNNNNNNNNNNNNNNNNNNNNNNNNNNNNNNNNNNNNNNNNNNNNNNNNNNNNNNNNNNNNNNNNNNNNNNNNNNNNNNNNNNNNNNNNNNNNNNNNNNNNNNNNNNNNNNNNNNNNNNNNNNNNNNNNNNNNNNNNNNNNNNNNNNNNNNNNNNNNNNNNNNNNNNNNNNNNNNNNNNNNNNNNNNNNNNNNNNNNNNNNNNNNNNNNNNNNNNNNNNNNNNNNNNNNNNNNNNNNNNNNNNNNNNNNNNNNNNNNNNNNNNNNNNNNNNNNNNNNNNNNNNNNNNNNNNNNNNNNNNNNNNNNNNNNNNNNNNNNNNNNNNNNNNNNNNNNNNNNNNNNNNNNNNNNNNNNNNNNNNNNNNNNNNNNNNNNNNNNNNNNNNNNNNNNNNNNNNNNNNNNNNNNNNNNNNNNNNNNNNNNNNNNNNNNNNNNNNNNNNNNNNNNNNNNNNNNNNNNNNNNNNNNNNNNNNNNNNNNNNNNNNNNNNNNNNNNNNNNNNNNNNNNNNNNNNNNNNNNNNNNNNNNNNNNNNNNNNNNNNNNNNNNNNNNNNNNNNNNNNNNNNNNNNNNNNNNNNNNNNNNNNNNNNNNNNNNNNNNNNNNNNNNNNNNNNNNNNNNNNNNNNNNNNNNNNNNNNNNNNNNNNNNNNNNNNNNNNNNNNNNNNNNNNNNNNNNNNNNNNNNNNNNNNNNNNNNNNNNNNNNNNNNNNNNNNNNNNNNNNNNNNNNNNNNNNNNNNNNNNNNNNNNNNNNNNNNNNNNNNNNNNNNNNNNNNNNNNNNNNNNNNNNNNNNNNNNNNNNNNNNNNNNNNNNNNNNNNNNNNNNNNNNNNNNNNNNNNNNNNNNNNNNNNNNNNNNNNNNNNNNNNNNNNNNNNNNNNNNNNNNNNNNNNNNNNNNNNNNNNNNNNNNNNNNNNNNNNNNNNNNNNNNNNNNNNNNNNNNNNNNNNNNNNNNNNNNNNNNNNNNNNNNNNNNNNNNNNNNNNNNNNNNNNNNNNNNNNNNNNNNNNNNNNNNNNNNNNNNNNNNNNNNNNNNNNNNNNNNNNNNNNNNNNNNNNNNNNNNNNNNNNNNNNNNNNNNNNNNNNNNNNNNNNNNNNNNNNNNNNNNNNNNNNNNNNNNNNNNNNNNNNNNNNNNNNNNNNNNNNNNNNNNNNNNNNNNNNNNNNNNNNNNNNNNNNNNNNNNNNNNNNNNNNNNNNNNNNNNNNNNNNNNNNNNNNNNNNNNNNNNNNNNNNNNNNNNNNNNNNNNNNNNNNNNNNNNNNNNNNNNNNNNNNNNNNNNNNNNNNNNNNNNNNNNNNNNNNNNNNNNNNNNNNNNNNNNNNNNNNNNNNNNNNNNNNNNNNNNNNNNNNNNNNNNNNNNNNNNNNNNNNNNNNNNNNNNNNNNNNNNNNNNNNNNNNNNNNNNNNNNNNNNNNNNNNNNNNNNNNNNNNNNNNNNNNNNNNNNNNNNNNNNNNNNNNNNNNNNNNNNNNNNNNNNNNNNNNNNNNNNNNNNNNNNNNNNNNNNNNNNNNNNNNNNNNNNNNNNNNNNNNNNNNNNNNNNNNNNNNNNNNNNNNNNNNNNNNNNNNNNNNNNNNNNNNNNNNNNNNNNNNNNNNNNNNNNNNNNNNNNNNNNNNNNNNNNNNNNNNNNNNNNNNNNNNNNNNNNNNNNNNNNNNNNNNNNNNNNNNNNNNNNNNNNNNNNNNNNNNNNNNNNNNNNNNNNNNNNNNNNNNNNNNNNNNNNNNNNNNNNNNNNNNNNNNNNNNNNNNNNNNNNNNNNNNNNNNNNNNNNNNNNNNNNNNNNNNNNNNNNNNNNNNNNNNNNNNNNNNNNNNNNNNNNNNNNNNNNNNNNNNNNNNNNNNNNNNNNNNNNNNNNNNNNNNNNNNNNNNNNNNNNNNNNNNNNNNNNNNNNNNNNNNNNNNNNNNNNNNNNNNNNNNNNNNNNNNAAACACCAACAUUUUGCACCUAAUUGCAAACUCUUUGUAAAAUUAUAAAAGGGAUCGUUUUUUUUUUCACUAUCUCGUUCAAGCACUGAUUUAAACUUGGAUAGAAAUAACUUUGAAUUAACAACUUUCAAGUGAAAUUUCUUAAAUGCCUUUAAAAUAUAGUAGUUACUAAUUUUGAUUUUUAAUUUUAUAUAGAUGUUUGCAUGACUAGUUGUGAUUUUUAUAUGUCAUUACACAGUUUGGCAACUUCGAAUUUAAAUAAUAAAUAUUUUUUUUUAUUACAUUUUCAACUUUGUUUCUUUACUUAACAACUUAUUCAUGAACUUUUUAAUAAGUUUAAGAGGUAAAUUGUUAUUUUUUAACAAAUCUAGGAAACAAAGUGUUGACUUUUGAAUGUGAAGGGUCAAAAUGUAAAAUAGGCCAAAGAUUAAAAGGGUAAAUUGUAUUUAACCCUAUUAAUAAUAUUUGUUUCUUUUAAUUUUAGGGUAUUCAUUAUUAUUAUUUUUAUAUAACUUACCAUAUAAAGUUUGAAAAAAAAGGGAUUUAAUACAUUCAUUAUUAAAUUAUCAAACUUUUUAGCAUGUACACUUGGGUAAAUAUAGACUCCUCUUUGUAGUUUAUAUAGGAUAAUAUUUACGUCUUCUAGUGAAUUUGAUAACAAAAGGAGUAGAAUAAUUUUAUUUUUAUUAAAGUAAGGAUAAGUGUGAUGUUUUAGAUAAUUUAAUUAAAUAAAAAUCUUCUUUCUAUAUUGCAUUUGAGGAAGAAAAAUGAUAGGUCUCUUCCAAGGAUGCCAAGAGGCCACCUCAUAAUUUACCUUCUACAUUGUCUUUAAGGAAAACUUGAUAGGAUUAGUUAACUUAUGUCUAGGUUUGCUCAUUGUCUUUAAGGACAACUUGAUAGGAUUAGUUGACUUUGGUCGGAUAUAAUCGUGUUUCAAUCAAAUUCAUGUCCAUUUAUAUAACAUGUUUAACAAAAAAAUUACAAAUUAUUUUUUGAUCAACCUACAUAAUAUAAAUUUGAAUAGAAUUGAUCUAUUUAAUAAUUAUGUUGGUUAACCUUAUUAUAACCACAUCAUAUUUAACUUGCAUUUAACUCAUUAAAAAUUUGAUUUUAAAAAACUAGAUUAAUUGAGUAAAAAAUGUAUAAUGUUUGGAGGUUAAUUUCGUCUUGAUUAUUAAAUAAGAUUUUGUUGGAAAUCUUUAGAUUAUCUUUUGAAAAAGUGUAGGAUUCAAUAUAUAUAUAUAAAAAAAGAGUUGUUUCACCGUUCAAUUCUUCACCCUAGGUCGAGAAUGGAACCAUAGUAAAAUCGGGAAUCACUUUGUUUCACAUCACAAAAAGCCUUUGACCUCUUUUUAGAGAACUUUUCUUCUAGAGUUCUCUUUGUCUGCUUUUUUAGAGAAGAAUUAAAAGUAAGCAAGAGAGUGAGUGAGAGAGAUCUCUUUUUAUUAUUAUUAUUUAUUUAGUGGGUGGUUUCUAACAGUUCCAACUCCCACAAAUUGCUCCCCCUAAUCUCUGAUUUGGUUGGAUCGGGUUAGAUCAACCUAACUUAGACACCCACCCAACUCCAAUAGAUUUCAUUAUUAAAUGGGCUACAAAACUUGGUAUCUAUUUGAUAAUUGGUUGAUAUUUGAUACUUUUAAUUCAAUUAUGAUUCGUAUCCUAUUUGACAUGAUUUAUUUAUGACCCAUCAACAUAAAUUGUCAUCCUUACAACUUCCUCAUUUAAUUUUUUAAAAUUAUUUUAUAUUUUAGUUAUAUUAAAAGUAAAUAUAAUUUAAAAAUAAAUAAGUAUUAUUAAUUUCUAUAAUUUAUUUUGAUAAUAAUUUUUUAUAUAUGUUUCUAAUUUUUUAUUUAUGGUAUAUAUAAUCACAAUAAGGCAAUAGGUAAAUUCGCCCUAGGUUAAAAAAAAAAUUUUUUAAAUGAGACCUGAACUUAUAUAUAUCUCUUUGGCCAAUAUCAUGUUUAUUUUCAUCCCUGAUUUGUCUAAGUCUAAAUAAUUUUGUUUCUUUAGGCCUAGCACUUUAAAAGUUCCAAUUGAAUUUAAAAUAUUACUUUUAGCGUUUGAAAAGCUCUAUGAAAUAAGAUUUAUGUCUUAUUAUUUAUAAUGCUUAAGAAAACUUUCAAAUUUAGAAAGACAUUAUUACAUCUAUCUUAGAUAUAAUUUAACAUUAUUUAGAGUGUGUUUGAGAGUGAUUUUAGAAAACGUUUUUAACAAUUAUAACACUUGAAUGAUAAAAUUUUUUAAGUAUUAAAAAUAUUAAAAGUUAUUCCUAAAAUUAUAACCAAAUUAGUUUUUAGAGUAUGUUUAACAGUAAUUAUAAGAAGUUCUUUUUAACUUAAAAAGUGUUUUUGAAAAAAAAAUUAGAUGUUUGACAAAAUUUAAAAAUUUAUUUGUAGUAUUUUUUUAGAGAAAUACUUUAUAAGUGAUUCUCCUAAAAACACUUUUUGAGAAAACACUUUUAUUAAAAACACUUUGAGUAGAAAUAUUGUCAAACAUACUCCUAGUAUGUUUCAAAAAAUAUAUGAAAAUAUUAGAUCCAAAAAUCUAUUUUUAACAUUUUUUUUAUUACAACAAAAUACUAAAGGGAGAAAAAAAUAUUAAGAAAAAUGAUUUUGUUUGAUUGUACUAUAAAAAAUAUUAAAGAAAAUCAAAUAUAAUUAAAGCUAAUUUAGAAACUUAUAUAUUUUAAAAUUAUUUAAUCUUUAUAUCGAUGAGUUGAAAUAAGUAAAAUAAGUUUAAAGAAUUGAAUGAAAAUAAUUUAUUGAGUUUUAAUUUACCUUUUUUAUUUUUCUUUAUUUUUUCUACUUUUUCUUACAUUUUCCUUUAAAUUUUUUGGAACCAAACAUAGCAUAAGGAAUUAUCUACGAAGUGGACAUUUUUUUUUAAUUUAAAUUCAUUCUAAAAUAAAUAUUCGUCGUUACUCAAAAUAAGUAUUGUCCACAAAAAAAUGAUCAAAUUAAAUAAUAUAAAAUUUUAAAUUAUUUGAUACAAUUGCAACCAAGAUGUUAAGAAUAAAAUAUUUACAAGCUAUUGAAAGUUGGAGACGUGACAUGUUGGGGUGGACCAAGACUUGUUCCCGCUAGAGUUGCUGACAAUCUAUUUAUAAAGAUAACGCUUAUCUGCAACAUCAUUUCCUUAUUUUUUUUUAACAUCUAAAAUCUUAGUUGUGAAGAUAUAUAUAUAUAUAUAUAUAUAUAUAUAUAUUUUGUUUCAUUGACUAAGAGAUUUUUUGGGAAUAAAGAAAGAAGAAAACAUGGUAAAAAUGAAAGAAGAAAAAGAAGAGAAUAAACGAAGAGGACCGGAAAUGAAGAAAGAGAAGGGAAAAGAGAGAGAAGCAGCGAGGAAAGUUCGGGGUUAGGGUUAUAUUUUGGGAAAAGGAAAGAUAAGUUUUAUUUUUAUGUUUAUUUGUUAAAAAAGAGAGUGACACACCGUGACAACGAGAGACAAAGUGGGCCCUUUAAUAAUCCUAUCUACAAAUCCAGUGGCUCAUUUAUGAAAAUACAUUUUGUCCACAUCCAGGCAGCUGUGGAGUAGUUGGAAUGGUAUUCCCUGAAGCAUCCGAAGAGGUGGUGUUGAAACUCAAGGAAGGAGAUAUAAUACCAGUGCCCUCUGGAGCAGUUUCAUGGUGGUACAAUGAUGGAGACUCAGAACUAGUUAUCGUAUUCCUUGGUGAAACUUCCAAGGCCCAUGUUNNNNNNNNNNNNNNNNNNNNNNNNNNNNNNNNNNNNNNNNNNNNNNNNNNNNNNNNNNNNNNNNNNNNNNNNNNNNNNNNNNNNNNNNNNNNNNNNNNNNNNNNNNNNNNNNNNNNNNNNNNNNNNNNNNNNNNNNNNNNNNNNNNNNNNNNNNNNNNNNNNNNNNNNNNNNNNNNNNNNNNNNNNNNNNNNNNNNNNNNNNNNNNNNNNNNNNNNNNNNNNNNNNNNNNNNNNNNNNNNNNNNNNNNNNNNNNNNNNNNNNNNNNNNNNNNNNNNNNNNNNNNNNNNNNNNNNNNNNNNNNNNNNNNNNNNNNNNNNNNNNNNNNNNNNNNNNNNNNNNNNNNNNNNNNNNNNNNNAGUACUUCUCAUUGUUAACAGCUACACAGUAAGCAUCAAUCUAACAAAUUGUUUUCUCUUUAAACAUCAUUGAUUGUGGGGUAAAUUACUAACUAUUUGUUACAUGUCAUUUGUUUGUUUACAGACAUGUAUUUGGCUAAUUUACUGGGAAAACAUCAGUAUGGGGAGCAUUAUCUCCACAAGUUUUACAGGCCUCGCUCAAUGUGGCUCCAGAGUUUGAGCAGCUUUUCAGGGCGAAGAUAAAAAAGGGCACCAUUCUUGUUCCUCCACAGAACUAGAUUGAUUAAUAACCAAGGGCCCUUAUGAUGUAUCAUCAUUUGUUUUCAGGAGUUACAGGGCUAUCAAAAUACAAUAAUUGUACUCCUAAGUAUUUCUUUUAUAUGUGUAUCCGUGAGAUGGAAAAUGUUGUACAACUAUUAAUUAUAUGGCAAUAAAUUAGGUUAUGAACCUUAGUGUACUCAUUCUGAGUGCAUAUAUAUUUGUCUAUGAGAGUGAUGGUUUUAUUCCCAUCAUUAACCUAAUUGACUAAUGAAAGUGGACAAUGCUAUCAUCUCUUUCCUUCAAUCAAACUGUCUAUGAGAUGUAGAUGAUCUUAUACCGAUCAAAACCUACAUAAUCAUUCAUGUUCUUGACACAAUACCUCAUGCUUCUUAAUGAAUGAAUAUUUCAACUUCAUACCGAGACUGACAAAUUAUGUAUCCUCUAUUUUUGUUGAAAGAAUCUUUCAAGAUUGCUCUUGAAAGCUUGAGAGGUGGACAACUAUGACUAAAAGGAUGACUAUUUCUUGUGUAUGCUCCUCAAUUCAUUAAAGUAAUUUGUUUAUUUUCAAAUGCUGGAAGAUAAAUUUGGAGAGCUACAUCAAAAUUGUAGACCACUAAUUUUUUCCCACCAAUAUGGCAUGAGCCCAUUUUUAUGCCUUUAUUGAAUCGGGCAUUACACUUUGGCAGCAUUCUAAAGUCAUCUUUCUAUUAUCCUUUUAUCUUAAUCUCAUUUAUGACUUCAAUCCCGUCUCCAAUCUUAUAUAUUUUGUAGAUUGAUGCACACAUAUAUGACGCAUGGAUUCUGAUACACGUACUUUCUUAUUAAUUUUAUCUUUUAUUUUUUAAUUUUAAUUUUUAAAUUUCAAUUUUUAAUUUUUCAAUUUUGAUUUUAAGCUUUCACUUUCAAUUUUUAAUUUUUGAUUUUAAGCUUUAACUUUCAAUUUUUAAUUUUUAUUCUUAAAUUUUAACUUUGAGCUAAGUUUUGGGGCAAAAUAGCCCUUUUAUAGAAAAAAAAAAAAUAUGGUUUAACUCAUUUGUAAAAUUUAUGUUCAAACUAAUCAUUUUAUUGCCACGUAGGAGUCAUAUUAUAAAAAAUAUUUUUUUAAAAAAAAAUAAGUUGAAACCUCAAUUGUCAAUUGAUGCUUUAUUUUUUUUAAUUAAAAUUGCAAUUAACAAUUGAUGAGUCAUUUUUGAAUUGAAACCUCAGUUGUUGAUUAAGGCUUCAUUUUUUAACUGAAACCACAAUUGAUAAUUAAAACUUUAUUUUUUGAUAAAGAGUGAGAAUGAGAUGGAGAGAAGGGGGGAAAGGUGGGGGAAAGUAAAGUAGAUUAAAAGAAUAUAUAUAUAUAUAUAUAUAUAUAUAUAUAUAUAUAUAUAUAUAUAUAUAUAUAUAUAUAUAAGGUUGACGUGAAUCUAGAGGGACUAUUAUCCAUAUAACUCCAAACUCAAAUAAUUCAAAUAUUAAUUAAAUUCUAACAUAUUAACACUAUCCAAAAUAAAGUUUGAACCAAAAUCCUAAUAAAGACAAUUAAUUCCCAGCCUAAACAUCACUUCUUGCCCAAAUUGAGAGUAUCUGGAAAAAAAAAAAUUGUUAACGAAAGAGAAUGAGCCCAAAGCCCAAUAAGAAAUAUUAAUACAAUUUUAUGGAUCAAACAUUUUCAAGUAUGAUUAUAAAUAGGAUAUAUAAAGUACUUUUUUUUUAUAAAAACUUUUGAGUUCAAAUAUGCUAAAACAUCUAAAUCUUUUCAACAUUUUUUUUUCAUAUUUAUGUCAAAAUAAUUGCAUAUCAAAUCCAAAUCAAACACCUUCAAUAUAUUUUUACUUUGGUCAUCAAAUAACAAAUAAUGUCCAAUUAGGUAAGACUUUACAAAUGAGUGAUUGACCUCAAAUUUGUUCCUUUUAAGAUGGACAAAACCAAACACUACUAAUUCUAGUAGUCUUUAACCAAAUCCCUAGAGGUUGAGAUUCAAAGUAAUACAUUUCCAUCAAGAAAUGUGAAGGUAAACUAUUAUAUCCAGUUGAUAAGGGCCGAAAAUGUCAACUAUUAUAUCCCGAUGACUAAGAUAAAAUAAAUUAGAGAGUCAAGCACUUUGUUUCAUUUAUUCAAACUUACAAAAGCAUAAUAUCUCCAUAUUUUUCUAUUAUAAUAAAAAAGAAAAAUGUUCUAAUAUAUAUAUCAUGCAAAAUAUGUUUGAUCCAUGUAUAAAAACAAAAAUAAUAUUUUAUACAUUUGAAAAUAACAUAUAAAAAGAAAACCAUUUUCUUUUACAAAAUCUGCAUUAAUUUUCCUUACAUUAAAGAAGCACUAAAAAACCUUGAAGAAAUUAAUCAUUAAUAAUCUACCCAUUACCUAACAUAACAAAAAAAAUAAAAAAAUAAAAAAACUACUACUAUGAGCUAUUUAUCUAAAAUUUUUAAAUUAGACAAUCCAAAUAAUAUUUUAUAUUAAUAUUAGCAAUCCUAAAUAAUUUCCAAAGCUAAUAUUAUCUUCACUAAUAUUAUUUUCAACUUCCUAAUCAAUGACAAUUUAAUUAAAGAAUUUCCAAAUUUCCAUAAAAUAUAUGUUCUUUCCAAAAAUCUAUUACCAAUAAUCACUCAAUGUCUAUAUAUUUUAAACUAAAACUGUGAUGUCCCACAUCGGAUAGGGGAGGAAGUUCCUGGCGCUAUAUAUGUAGAGGCUCCUCUUAACCAAGUAGACGCGUUUUAAAGCCGUGAGGGCCCAUUUCGGCCCAAAGCGGAUAAUAUCUACAUGGUUGGGUGCGGGUCGUUACAAAUUUGUGAUGUCCCACAUCGGAUAGGGGAGGAAGUUCCUGGCGCUAUAUAUGUAGAGGCUCCUCUUAACCAAGAAAACGCGUUUUAAAGCUGUGAGGGCCCCCUUGGGCCCAAAGCGGACAAUAUCUACAUGGUUGGGUGUGGGUCGUUACAAAUGGUAUCAGAGCCGAUCCCCGACCCCGGUGUGGGAGUUUGUUUGGCUUUGUCUGUUUGACCCCGCAAUCCCAUGGGACACAACGAGGACGUUGUGUCUGCAUGGGGGGGUAUUUGUGAUGUCUCACAUCGGAUAGGGGAGGAAGUUCCUGGCGCUAUAUAUGUAGAGGCUCCUCUUAACCAAGUAGACGCGUUUUAAAGCCGUGAGGGCCCAUUUCGGCCCAAAGCGGAUAAUAUCUACAUGGUUGGGUGCGGGUCGUUACAAAAACUCCUAAAAUUGUUUUCUUUUUUGUCUUGUAUUAAAUUAUUAUUAUUAUUAUUAUUAUUAUACCAACUUUGUACUUUACCAAAUUCUCAACAUUUAUUUUAUUUUAUUUUUUUCACUCGCCCAUGUCGAGUUUAGUCCUCUAAACUUGACAUAUCUGAAUCUAAAAAAAAAAAAAAAGAAAGUGGAUGUUUCUCUCAUCUCCUCAUCUAAUUCCCAAGUGGCCUAUCGAAUACUGUAAUUGCUCCAUUGAACCUCUACCAACUUGGCAAUAGCAUAACUUAGUACCUUAUCUAUCACAUCUACAAUCAAAAUGGGUACUUCUUCAUCAAUCAAAUCCUUUGACAUUUGAAUAGGCUCCAACUCUACAACAUGAGAGGGAUAAAAAACAUACUUCCUCAAAGCCGAUACAUGAAACACAUUAUGAAUCUUAAACAAUCUUGGGGACAACUCCACUCUAUAUGCCAAGGUACCUACUCUUUCCAAGAUUUCAAAUAGUCCCACAAAUCGAGGAUUAAGCUUUCUGUUUCUCUCGAAUCCCAUCGUAGACUUUGUAGGCAAAACCUUUAAGAGAACAUUAUCACCAACCUUAAACUCCAAAUCUCACAUGUGAUUAUAAACAUAACUCUUUUGUUUAUUUUGAGCUGCUUUCAAUCUUUAUUUAACCAAGUCAACCUUUUCAAUAGUUAACUGCACAAGUUCAAGCCUUAAAAGUUUCCUCUCUCUAACAUCAUCAUAAUAAAUAGGAGAUCGACAUCUCCUACCAUACAACCCCUCAAAAGGAGUCAUCCCAAUGCUAGCUUGAAAGCUAUUAUCAUAGGUAAACUUUACUAAAGGUAAUUAAUCAUCUCAAUUACCUUUUAGGUCUAUGGUAUAAGCUCUCAACAAAUCUUCUAAAACCUGAAUACCCACUUUAAUUGACCAUCGAUUUGAGGAUGGGAAACAAUACUAAAACUCAACUUAGUAACCAGAGCUUUCUAUAAACUAUGCCAAAAUCUAGAAGCAAAAUGAGGAUUCCUAUCGAAUACUAUAGAAAUAGGUACCCUAUACAUUCUUACAAUCUCCUUGAUAUAAAGAGAAGCCAAUCAGUCCAUGGAGAAACUAACUUUCAUAGGUAGAAAAUGAGUAGACUUUGUCAAUCGAUCAACAAUCACCCAAAUAAAAUUAUUAUUGCCUAAGUGGUAACCCUAUCACAUAAUCCAUGGUAAUAUGUUCACAUUUCCAUUUAGGAAUAGAAAGUGGUUGCAAAGACCUUAUUGAGCGUACAUGCUUAGCUUUCACCUAUUGACACGCCAAACACUAAGCCACAAAUUGUGCAAUACCUUGCUUCAUGCCUGACCACCAAUAAUUUUACCUUAAAUAUUUGUACAUCUUCGAGCCUCCUACAUGGAUUAUAAGUCUAGGACAAUGAGCUUCCUUCAAAAACUCUCUCUUAAGUCUCCAUCAUUUGGGAAACAGUCUAGUCCCAAAUCUUAAGAUUUCAUCAUAUGAUAACAUAAAGUCAAGCUUACCACUCUUCUUAACUUCCUUCAUAAGUUGGACCAAUUGCAAAUCAUUCUUUUAUAGGGUUUUAAUUCUCUUAACCAAGUCUUGUUGUACUAUGAAAUUCACUAUAAGAGCUUCUGAGUUCCGAACUCCGAUAUGGAUUUGUAAACACCUCAAAUCCUCUAGUAACCACCUCUAACAACUUCUAAUAGUUUAUAAGGAACCAAUUAAUUUCCUGCUCAAGGCAUGAACCACAACAUUUUCUUUCUUCGGAUGAUAUUGAAUAAUGUCGUCAUAGUCCUUAAGUAACUCUAUCCAAUUCCUUUGUUUCAUGUUUAAUUCUUCUUAAGAAAACAAAUACUUCAAACUCUUAUGAUUUGUGAAUAUCUCACAAGUUUCACCGGAAAAUAAAUGUUUUUAAAUCUUAAGUGCAAAAACACUACAACUAGCUCCAAAUCAUGAGUGGGGUAGUUUUGCUCACAAGGCUUUAACUGUCUAGAAGCAUAAGCCACAACUUUCUUAUUUUGCAUAAGAACACACCCCAAACCCUAAUGAGAGGCAUCAUUAUACACUCACGUUCCUCUACUUCUUGAGUACACUAAAAUAUUAUCUAUAAAAACCACAACAAACUAAUCUAGAUAGGGUUUGAAUACCCUAUAAGUCCAUAAAGGCAGAAGGUGCAUUAGUUAAACCAAAAGGCAUAGUAAAAAAACUCAUAAUGCCAUCUAGUUUCAAAAAACAUUCUUGGGUACAUCCUCAUUUCUAACCCUCAAUUGAUGAUAUCCAAACCAAAGAUCAAUCUUAGAGAACACACAUUUACCCUGAAGUUAAUCAAACAAAUCAUUAAUUCGAGAAAGAGAAUACUUGUUUCUCACCAUCACCUUAUUCAACUCUCUAUAAUCAAUGCAAAGUCUUAUUAAUCCAUCCUCCUUCUUCACAAAUAAAAUAAGAGUUGUCUUCACAAAUCAUGAAUCUGAGGAAGAGAAUACUUGCUUCUCACAGUCACCUUAUUUAACUCUCUAUAAUCAAUGCAAAGUCUCAUUGAUAGGUCAUUCUUCUUCACAAAUAGAAUAUGAGCUCCUCAAGGUGAAACAUUGGGCCUAAUAAAACCUUUAUUUAACAACUCCCGAAGUUGAAUCUUAAACUCUUUAACUUCUAUAGGUUCCAUCCUGUGUGAGGCCUUAGAGAUAGGAGUUCUUCAUGUUACCAAAUCAAUGGUUAACUCCACCUUCCUUUAGUGGCAAGCUAGGCAAAUAAUCUAGAAAGACAAAAGGAUAAUUCCUUACAAUGGAUAUGUUCUCUAACCUUAAAUCAUUUUCAUCACUCACCACAUAUGCCAAAAAGCAUUGAUAACCCUUCCUUAUCGAGCAAAUAACUAGUUUGCAAGGUUGAGAUCAUAUGCAAUGGUAUGUCCACAUGUUUCCCCUCAAAACUAAACUUGAGUUGACAAAAAAUGUGAAACAUCACCAUUUUUCCAAAACAAUCAACAGAGGCAUGAUAGGAAGCUAAUCAAUCCAUUCCUAAAAUCACAUUAAAAUGUCAAAGGUCAAGGAGUACUAAGUUAACUAACAUCUCCCUAUAACCAAUAUAUCAUCAUAAGAUAAUAUUUAAGCAUUCUAUUGGCCACAUCAGAAUCUCCUAAAGGAGUAGCAACAUUAAUCAAAUCAAAGUCCAUGCUAGCCACUGACAUACGUAACAAACUAAUGAAAAAUAUUAAAACAAAAUAGUGCAUUGUGAUUGGAUUCACCACUAAGAAACCAAUUAGGCAAUUUAAAAUUAUGAGGAAGAAUAUGUAAGAAUUUAUACUAGAUGAAGCUAAAACUUAAACUAAUGUGUCACUCAUCUAUCCUUAAAGUAAACUAAAUCAGUUUCCCAACAAGAUCAUAAGCUAAUGCUUUGAUACCAUUUUGUCAUGCCCCAAAACCUACUCUAAGGGUGGGAUGGUCAUUUUACAUCUCAAGCUUAAAGGCUUAAAGUGCGAACGAUUCAAACAAUUAUCUUAUAACUAGAAGGUUAACAAUUACUAAAUUCUUGUUCAAAGUAGUAAAAUAAAACAUUUCUAUAAUUCUUAAAUCUCAACUUUAAAACUAACGCAUCAAUCAAAGUACUAUUGUCCAAAUAUCUCCAAACUCAAAUAAUUCAAAUAAUAAUUAAAUUCUAUCAUCUAAAUAAUAUCCAAAAUAAAGUUUAAAAUAAAAUCCUAAUAAAGGCAAUUUCUUAGCCUAACCAUCACUCCUCACUUGAAUUGAGAAUACUAGAAAAAAAAUUGUCAAUGAAAGGGAAUGAGCUUAAAACCCAAUACGAAAUACUAAAAUAGUUUCAUAAAUCAAACAAUUUCAAUUAUGAUUACAAAUAAGAGAUACAAUAUACAAUCUUUUUCAUAAAAUGAAUUUGAAUAUACUAAAGCAUCCAAAUCUUUUCAAUUAUAUAUAUAAUUUUAUAUCAAAUCAUGCAUUCAAAAUAUUUUACUUUAGUUAUUAGAUAAGAAAUUAUGCUCAGUUAAGUGAGACUAUACAAAUGGGUGGCUAGCCUCAAAUUUAUUGUUUUUAAGGUGGAUGAAACCAAAUACUAUUGAUACUAGUAACCUCUAACCAAACCCUUAAAGGUUGAGAUUCAAAGCAAUUACAUUCCCCACCAAAAAUAUAAAGGUUAACUAUUAUAUCUCGUUGAUAAGGACAAUAAAGGUUAACUAUUAUAUCUCAUUAAUUAGGGCACAAAAUGUCAACUAUUAUAUCUUGUUUACUAGGGCCAAACAAAUCAAACACUUUGUUUCAUUUAUUCAAAUAUACAUAAACAUAAUAUCUCUAUAUUUUUUUGUUAUAAUCAAAAGAAAAAUGUUUUAAUAUAUUUUUCAUGCAAAAUAUAUUUGAUUCAUGCAUAGAAACAAAAAUAAUAUUUUACAUAUUUGAAAAUAACAUAUAUAAAAAAAUAAUAUUCUUUUACAAAAUUCACAUUAAUUUCCCUUACCUCAAAUAAGCACUCAAAAACCUUCAAGAAAUUAAUUGUGUAGAAUCUACUCCUUACAUUACAUAACAAAAAAAAAAAAAAAACUAUUACUAUUGACUAUUUAUUUAAAAUUUAUAAAUUUGGCAAACCUAAUAAUAUUUUAUGUUUAUAUUAGUGAUCCUAAAUCAUUUCUUAUGCUAAUAUGAUUAUCACUAAUAUUAUUUUCAACUUCCUAAACCAUAACAAUUUAAUUAAAGAAUUUCCAAAUUUCCAUAAAACAUAUGUUCUUUCCAAAAAUCUAUUGUCAAUAAAUCAUUCAAUCGUUCAACCCUACAUUUUGUUUGAUAUUUUGGGACAAGAGCAUCUAUUUUCAAGCCCAUGUGUAGCAAGAAAGGAAUUUGCUUCCAUUAUCAGAUUAUAAACAUUGUAAUCGACAAUUGAAAUUAUUUUCAGCUAAGGUUUUGAACUUAAGAAAGGUAGGCAAAACUUGAUCUUUAGUAUGUAAGGGAUAAAGCCAAGAAAACUAAGAAAAACUAUCAAGGAAUAUUAAGAAAUAACUUGCACUAGCUGUGGAGAUAAUAGUGGCAGGACCUCACAAAUCGGUAUGAACUAAAGCAAGAGGAUGAGAAGCUCUAGAUUCAGAAAAUGGAAAAUGUAAUCUCCGGCUUUAUGCAUAUUAGCAAGCACAACAAACCUUAUAUCUAUGACAGUCUUUAGAGAUAUUACAAGAUGUAAGAAUUUGCUUCAAAGUAUUAUCAACACCAUGACCAAGAUGGGAGUGCCAAGGUUCACCCAAGUUAUCCAAAUUCGUAACAAUAGAGAAACCAUGACAGGAAGUAAAGAGGGCUGAAGGUGCAUCAUAAUAUUUAUCGUGUUUCCAAAAAUAAAUUAAUACAUUAAUUCCAAAAUCUUUUAUUUAUUUAUUUAUUAAUAAUUUUAAGAAGGUAGUUAUGAAUUGGAUAUUUUUAAAAAAUCAUUUUACAAUAAUUAAUCCCUCUCUAAUUUAUUUUGCAUGCAAUGUGAUAUUUCAUCCUUAUUAAUCAAAAUAAAUGUUCCCAAAAAUAAUAAAAUUAAAUAAUAUAAACUUUAAAUUAUCAACUAUCAAGGUGUUCAUUUUGUUAGAUUCAUUAAAUCGAGGCCAACAUGUAUUAAACCAUAAAUUUAAUUAUUUUUAUAUUUGUCCAAAUAAUUCAAAAAAUUAAUAAAAUAUUUACAAGCUAUUGCAUGGCGGUAGAACAUGAAGUUUUGGUGGACCUUAUCCCACGAGGGACGUUGAGAAGCUACUUACAAAGAUAAGGUUCCUGAUAAACCUUAUCUCACGCAUCAUUCGUGCUUAUAAUUAAUUCCUUUACUUUUCAACUUUGUGAAGAUAUUUUUUUCAUUGAAUAAGAAAAUGUUACGAUAAUAAUUUCCAACGUGUGAUAAUUGGAAAAUUCGAGAAGGAAGAACAAGGGCAUCAAUUUUUAGGCAGUAGACAAAAAUGUCAAAUUUCCACAUGUCCAAAAAUGUUGAUUCGCGACAAAACAUACUUCUCUUUUAGGUAUUAUCAGUUUGUUUGAUUUUGAAAUUAGAUUUUUUUUAUAGGGGCUUUUUGGAUACAAAAUUUUUACUUGUAGCGUUUUCUCAAGUAGAAAAUUUUUACAAGAUAACACUAAUUUUAGAUAUACUUUGCCACCAUCAUCUCUCCAAGGGAACGUCUCAUGCACCAUUCAAACUUUAUGGUUAUAUUUAUCUUUUGAUUAAUUGUAUUGCAUGCACUUUUGUCAAAGCCCAAUAUGAACUCAAAUUCUAUAGAAAUAUUAGUCUGUGAAGAGUUUGAAAACCAGGAAGAGAUGAUGAAUUUGCAGAAGUCAAAAGAAAAGGAUAAAUCUUCCAAACUCUAGAAGAUGGAUUGUGUGAAAAGCAAAGAGAAAAAUGUAUUAUACAAGUAAAGUCCAGAAGAUGGGCAAUUUUCCUACUCAACCUCCUCCUGAACUCUAUAAAUACUCCCCUAAUCUUCCUCAUAUUCAUCUCUCAAAAGUCUCUCUUCAUCUCUUUCAUAACAUUCAACUUAGUCUCUUUCUAUUGUUUCUCAUAAAAUCAAGGUUUGUACUCACUCUUAUCUAUCUAUCUAUAUGUAUAUGUUAGUGGCCUUCAAAGUACACAUCUGAGAACUAUGGAUGAAUGAUAUGACCUGAAUUUCAAGAUGACGGUUGAGCUUGUUUUUUCCACAUUAGCCCACUUUGUCUACUCUACCCCAUUACUCCACCUGAUUUUCAUUAUCUCUCUACAUGAUCUUAAUCGUAGUCUUAACCUUUUGAUCUGUGUUUUGCAGGCAGUCGUUCAUUUGCUUUCUUUCAAAUAUACAGACAUAAUCCAUGGAGUUGAACUUAGCACCAAAGUUUGCACAAAAGAUCUUCGAAGGAGAAGGUGGAACAUAUUACCGUUGGUCAAGUGCUGAAUAUGAAUUGCUCAAGGAAGCAAAGGUUGGUGGUGGAAGGCUUGUUCUGCAGCCUCGUGGCUUCGCUCUCCCUCACUAUGCUGACUCCAACAGAAUUGGUUAUGUUCUUCAAGGUCUGUAAAUCCCCGAGCUUUUUAUGUCUUAUUCUUGAUUAGAACUCUUUUUCUAUUUCUUUUUCUUUUUCUUUAGAGAAUUGUUAAUUAUUCCUCCCUAAAAUCUCUUCUCCUCAAUUUUCUUUUCUUUCUCAAAAAUUAGAACAAAAAGAGUGCACACAGCCAUGGUAGUCGGCUGUGACUGGUGUGAGAGGAGAGGGGUCGCCAUGACAUGCNNNNNNNNNNNNNNNNNNNNNNNNNNNNNNNNNNNNNNNNNNNNNNNNNNNNNNNNNNNNNNNNNNNNNNNNNNNNNNNNNNNNNNNNNNNNNNNNNNNNGAGAGAUGAAAGAAGUUGAGGGCUAGGGUUAUAUUUGGGAAAAGGAAAAGAAAUUGAAAGAGAGAGAGAGAGAGAGAGAGAGAAAGUGGGCCUUCAAUAUUUCUCUUUCAUUUUUUUUUUAUGUUUCUGUCAAAAUGAUUCUCCGAUAUUACCCACUGUGCCAUCAAACCCUAUCCCAGUGGCUCAUUUAUGAAAAUAUAUUUUGUCCACAUCCAGGCAGCUGUGGAGUAGUUGGAAUGGUAUCACCCAAUGCAUCCCAAGAAGUGGUGUUGAGGCUCAAGAAAGGAGAUAUAAUACCAGUGCCCUCCGGAGCAGUUUCAUGGUGGUACAAUGAUGGAGACUCAGAACUAAUUAUCGUAUUCCUUGGUGAAACUUCCAAGGCCUAUGUUCCCGGAGAAUUCACAUACUUCCUACUAACCGGAACUCAAGGAAUCCUUGGAGGUUUUUCCACUGAAUUUAACUCCAGAGCCUAUGAUAUCAACAACGAAGAAGCCAAAAAGCUUGCAAAAAGCCAAUCUGGCCUCUUGCUAAUUAAGCUACCAGAGGGCCACAAAAUGCCCCACCCCUGCAAGAACAGUCCUGAUAAAUUGGUGUUUAAUAUUGAUGCUGCAUUACCUGAUAUCCAUGUCCAAAAUGCUGGAUUGCUUACUGCAUUGACAGCAAAGAAGUUUCCCUUCCUUGGAGAAGUUGGGCUCAGCGCCACCCUUGUGAAGCUGGAUGCCAAUGCCAUGUCCUCACCGGUAUACGCGGCAGAUUCGUCGGUUCAAGUAAUUUAUGUUGCAAAAGGGAGUGGAAGGAUUCAAGUUGUUGGCAUCAAUGGUGAACGUGCCUUGGACACGAAAGUGAAGGCUGGUCACUUGUUUGUUGUGCCAAGGUUCUUUGUGGCUGCUGCCAUUGCAGAUGGUGAAGGAAUGGAGUACUUCUCAAUGAUAACAACUACACAGUAAGCAUCAAUUCAAUAACUUGUUUUCUCAUUACACAUCAUUGAUUGUAGGGUUAAUUACUAACUAUUUGUUAUUUGUCUUUUGUUUGUUUACAGACCUGUAUUUGGCGAAUUUACUGGGAAAACAUCAGUAUGGGGAGCAUUAUCUCCACAAGUUUUACAGGCCUCUCUCAAUGUGGGUCCAGAGUUUGAGCAGCUUUUCAGGGCAAAGAUCAAAAAGAGCACCAUUCUUGUUCCUCCACAGAACUAGAUUGAUUAAUUACCAAGGGCCCUUACGAAGUAUUAUCAUUUGUUUUCAGGAGUUACAGGGCUAUUAAAAUACAAUAAUUGUACUCCUAAGUGUGUCUUUUAUAUGUACAUCUGUGAGAUGGAAAAUGUUGUACUACUAUUAAUUAUAUGGCAAUAAGUUGUUCCUUUGUGUGAUCAGAAAAUCUAUUGCUGCAUUGAUUUUGAAAAAUUUCAAGAAAUAGCGUAAUGGAAGCCUUAAAUUAGGUUGUGAACCUUAGUGUACUCGUUGUGAGUGCAUAUUUCUCUAUGAGAGUGAUGGUUUCAUUCCCAUCAUUUACCUAAUUGACCAAUGAAUGUGGACAAUGCUGUCAUCUCUUUGCUUCAAUCAAACUCUGUAUGUAAACGACACGAUUCAAAUCAUUAUCAAUAAAUCUACUAAAAAUGAAAGAGAGAUUUAAAUGUGCCUACUCUUUAUGGUGUUAUACCAAUCAAAACCCACACAAUCAUUCAUGUUCUUGGCACAAUAUCUCAUGCUUCUUAAUGAAUAUUUCAACUUCAUACCAAGAGUGAUAAAUUAUAUAUGUAUCCUCUAUAAUUUAUUGAAAUAAUCUUUCAAGAUUGCUCUUGAAAACUUGAGAAGUGGGGAACUAGGGCUAAAAGGAUGACUAUAUUCACGUGUAUGCUCCUCAAUUCAAUAAAGUAAUUUAUUUAUUUUGAAACGUUGGAAGAUGAAUUUGGAUAGCUAUAUCAUAUUGUAGACUACUAAUUUUUUCCUACCAAUAUGGCAUGAACCCAUUUUUAUGGCUUUAGGCCAUGUUUGGUUGGUUGGAUAUAUAGUAUGAGAUAGGAUAAGAGAGAGGAUAUUAUAUUUUAUCCCAUGUUUGACUUGUGAUGGGAUAAGAUAAGUUAUCUCAUCACUUAUCUUAUCCUAUGUUCAAUCAAACAUAGGAUAGGAUAAGUGAUGACAUAUAUUAUCUACUAUUUUUUUAUCCCUUCCUAUCCUAUCCUAUGAAUUUGGAGAGCUACAUCAUAUUGUAGACCACUAAUUUUUGCCCACCAAUAUGACAUGAGCUCAUCCCAUGUCUUUAGACGAUGUUUGAUUGACCAUAUAACAUGUAAUAGAAUAAGAGAAGAGAUACUAUAUCUUAUCCCAUGUUUGGAUGGUGAUAAGAUAUGAUAAAUUAUCUCAUCACUUAUCAUAUCCUAUAUUCAACCAAACAUGGGAUAGGAUAAGUGGUGAAAUAUAUUAUCCACUUUUUUUCUUUAUUCCUUUUACAUAGGAUAUAUUAAUUUCAUGCUAUGAUAUAAAAUAUGCAUAUCCCAUGUAUCAUAAAUUUAUUUUUUAAUUAUUUUUUUAUUUUUUUAUACUCAUUUUGCAAAAUAAUUUUUUUUAUUAUAAAUUAAAUUCAUGAUUAAAAAAUAAAAAAUAUUAAUAUAUAAUAUAUAAUUUAUUUUUAUAUAUUGAAUGAUAUAAUAUAAAAAAUUUUAAUUUAUAAAAUUUAAAUAAUUUAAUCAUAAAUAUUGUCAAAUAUAAGAGAAAUUUCAUUUUUUAAAUAAAAUUUUUUAUUACAUGAUAUAAUUUUUAUUUUAAACAUUAAAAAUAAUACAUAUUGGUGACUGUUUAGUGAUAACGGAUGAAGAAUGGGUAGAAUUGUCAAGGUCUAGGUAGGAUAAAAAGAGGUAUGAGAUGACAAAGAGACAGAGUGGUCACAUGAUUGGUGAAAUGGAAACACCACUUCAUCAAAGAUGAUAUGCCGAGUUAUAUACAUUCUGCCAAAAUUGUAAUCUAAGCACAACUAACCUCUGCGAAUUGUGCUAGAGCCAAGAAAGAUGCAGUAGACUUAAUGAUAUAGGAGUAUAAUUGUGUUUAUUAUAUGGGAGAACAUAGGGAUAGUAGAGAUGGUAAUUUGGUGUUUUUCCAAAUAGAAUUUGAAAAGGAUCUAGAUUGAAGUUGGAGUACCUUGGAAAGCAUUUGAUUAAUAAGGAAUAUGACAGUAUGGAACGCAUAAAGCCAGAACUUCAAAGGUAAAGAAGUAGUAGCUAAGAGAGCCAAACCAGUUUCUACUAUGUGCCUCAUCUUUUCUGUUUUGGGACAGAAGCAUCUAUUUUCAAUCUAAUAUGUAGCAAGAAAAAGGGUGAAAGCUUUUGAAUUCACCUCCAUUAUCAAAUCAUAAACAUUACAAUUGAGAAUUGAAUUGAUUUUCAACUUAGGUUUUGAACUUAACGAAGGAAGGCAAAGCUUGAUCAAUAGUAUGUAAGAGAUGAAGUGAAGAAAACCUAGAAAAAUCAAGGAAUAAUAAAAAAUAAUUUGCACUAAUUGUGGAGAUAACAGUGGCAAGAGCUCACAAAUCAGUAUGAACUAAAGCAAGAGGAUGAGAAGCUCUAGAUUCAAAUAAUGGAUGAAGUAAUCUAUGACUUUUUGCAUAUUGGCAAACACAACAAAUAUUAUGUCUAUGAUAGUCAUUGGAGAUAUUACAAGAUGUAAGAAUCUGCUUCAAAGUAUCAAUACCAGGAUGACCAAGACGAGCACACCAAAAUUUGGCUAAGUUAUUCAAAUUCCUAGUAGAAGAGCCAUGACCGGAAGUAAAGAGGGCUAAAGGUCCAUCAUAAUAUUUAUUGUGUUUCCAAAAAUACAUUAAUAGAUUAAAUCCAAAAAUCUUUUAAAAAAAAAAAAUUAAGAAGGUAGCUAUGAAUUGGAUAUUAAAAAACAAAUCAUUUUACAAUAAUUAACCCCUCUCUAAUUUAUUUUUCAUUUACUCUUAUAUUUCAUCUUUAUUAAUCAAAAUAAAUGUCCACAAAAAAUAUCAAAUUAAACAAUAUAAACUUUAAAUUAUCAACUACAAAGAGCAAUCAAAUUUAAGAAUCUUUUAUGUAUCCUCUAUUUUUGUUGAAAGAAUCUUUUAAGAUUGCUCUUGAAAACUUGAGAGGACUAUAUUCUUGCGUACGCUCCUCAAUUCAACAAAGUAAUUUAUUUAUUUUCAAACAUUGGAAGAUCAAUUUGGAGAGCUACAUCAUAUUGUAGACCACUAAGUUUUUCCUACCAAUAUGGCUUGAACCCAUUUUUAUGCCUUUAUUGAAUCGGGCAUUACACUUUGGCACCAUUCUAAAGUCGUCUUUCUAUUAUACUACUAUCUUAAUCUCAUUGAUGACUUUAAUCCCCUCUCCAAUCUUAUAUAUGGUAUAUAUUGAUGCACAAAUAUAUGACACGUGGACUCUCAUACACAGACACUUUCUUUUUAUCGUAUCUUUUAGUUUUUAAUUUUAAUUAUUAACUUUCAAUUUUUAAUUUCUAUUUCUUAAAAAUUAACUUUAAGCUAUCAAUUUUAAGAGUACUAGCUUUACACAAAUGGGUUUUUCUCACUAAUUUUAAAAAAUAUAGGAAAAAAUAAUUUCAAAUUUUAUAAAUCAAUAGUUCUUUCUCUAUUUAAAAGUAUUUUAAAAUAUAUAUACUUUUCAUAAGUUAGAUAAUCAUUUCCUAAAAUAAUCCUUUUACUUGUUAGGUUAAUAACAUUAAUUGACAAUUUUUUUUACCAAUUGUUAGGUUAAUAAAAUAAGAAAAUUUAAAAAUUAAAAAUACAAUUAAAACUUAAAAAAAAUAAAUAAAUAAAAAACCUUUAAAGGUAAAAGUAUAAAAAUAAAAUACAAUUAACUUUCACUUCGCUAAAACACACUAGCAAAAAAUAUAAAUUUGGAGAAAGAAUUGGAAAUACAAUGGGAGUUAAUUUUUUUUUUAAUUUUCAAGUUUUUAAUUUUAAUUGUAUUUAAUUGUUAAUUAUUUUGGUUUAAAUUGUAUUUUAAAUUUUUAAAUUUUUUUAUUUUAUUGUUGAUGUUAACUAAUAAAAUUUUUAUUCAAUUUUAUUAAAAAAAAAGAAGAAAAAAAAAAGAAGAUGAGUUGAUUUAUAUAAUACAAGAUAUAAAAUCAUUAUUAAUCAUGGAAUUAGAAAGAUUUUAUUUAUCAACUGAGGAUCAUAAUUUUUCCACAAUGAUUUUUAUCUCAUAUUAUAUAAUAAAAAAUUUAUAAUAUAUUUAUUUGUAAGGGUAUUUUAGGAAAUAAUUAUCCAACUUAUGAAAAAAUGCAUGUAUUUUAAAAUAUUUUUAAAUAGAUAAAAAUAAAAUUGAUUUAUAAAAGUUAAAGUUCAUUUUCCUAUACUAUCACUUUUCCCAUAAAAAAAAUUAUAAAAUUACAAUUUUAAGAAUAUUUAGAAUUUCAAAUUUAUGACUCUUUGUGAAAUUUCAAUUGAAAAUUUUAUGUUCAAUAGGAACUUAUUGUUGAAAAAAAAAACGAGGAAACAAAAGAUAAGACAACAUGCAAUCAAGUUUCAUUACAUUCUCUUUCAGAGUUUCUAUAUGCAUAGGAGCCCAUGGUUUUUUCUUUUUCUUUUUCCCUAAAAAAAAAAAUUAUGCCACAAUUUUGGACUAAGGAAGCAAGACAAGAAAUGUUGACUUUUGGCUUGAAAUCCAUAUUAAAAACUCAUCAUUGUUUAUUUGUCAUGUCCCAGAAACCCUGUAAUGUUCAUUUCAUACCUCAAACUCGAAAGUUCAAAGUGCAAAUGAGUCAAACGAUCAUUUGGUGAUUAGAAGGUUCCUAAUUACCAAAUUCAUUUUCAAAAUAGUAAAAUAAAAAAUUUCUAUAAUUCUCAAAUCUCAACUUUAAAAUUAAUACAUCAACCAAAAUACUAUUAUUCAAAUAAUUUCAAACUCAAAUAAUUCAAAUAAUAAUUAAAUUCUAACAUCUAAACAAUGUUCAAUGUGAUUAUGAAUAGGAGAUACAAUGUAUUUUUAUUUUUUUUUCUAAAAAACUUUCGAGUUCAAAAAAUUCAUAUUUAUAUGAAAACAAUUUUGUAUCAAAUUCAAAUAAAAUAUGUUCAAAAUAUUUUUAUUCUGGGUUUAAAAUAACAAAUGACACCUAAUUAGGUGAGACUUUACAAAUGGCAAACUAACUUCGAACUUGUUCAUUUUAAGAUGGACGGAGUCAAACUUCUUAGUAAUCUCUAACCAAACCCCCAAAGGUUGGGAUGUAAGAUAUCACAUGCAAUAUAUAUUCGAUCCAAGUAUAUAAACAUUUGCAACAUGAAUCAAAUCUAAAAAAGACUUAGAAUCGUUUACUUACCUCCAGCCAUUGUUUUGAGUUACUGUAAUCAGUGCAAGCCUUGAUUUCCAAAUUCUGAUAUCUUCUUUUAGAUGGUGUUGAAGAUAAAAACAGCAGAGAAACGAGUUCAGGACCAUGAGAGAUCUAUAUAACUGUGGCUUCCCAUCAUACCACGUUGCUUCUGAUUUGCCACACUAUGAGCAGUUUGUAGAACAUGCUCCUUAACCGCAGCAGAAGUGAGAGAUGGUAGAGGACAUGGUCAAGGUGUUGGACCACAUCAGUGUGGUGAACGUGUGUGAACAUGUAGCCGAUAACAUUCUCCCACUUGGUCCACACUUUUAACCUAAUGUCCUAUCUUAGUCUAUCAAUUAUCCGCAUUAAGUAACAAAUACAUGAAUCAUGGCGAUAAGUCCUCUAUAUAACGAGUGUUACCUUCCAUGUAUUACAGUGUAUUCAUUUCUUAACAUUAUUCUUUAUGUGGCAAUAUUACGUAAUGAAUAAACCCUAUAUUCAUUCUUGGUCCAAUGAAGUUGAAUUUUCUCAAAAUUAAAUAAAUGUGCACAUUAAUAUGAGAAAACAUCAUAAUAAGAGUUUGUACAAUAAAAACUAAAUAAGGGAACUAAGUCCCAUGUUCACUAGAUGAUCUUUGAAUUUCAAUGGUGGCAUGCCCUUAGUCAAAGGAUCAACAAUCAUCAAUUCAGUGCUAAUAUGCUCAAUAACCACUUUCUUUUCUUUAACAUGUUCUCUUAUGGCUAGAUACUUAAUGUCAAUGUGCUUGCUUUGACUUCCACUUUUAUUGUUCUUUGCCAUAAAGACUACAGCUGAAUUGUCGCAAUAUAUACUCAAUGGCCUAGAUAUUGAAUCCAUAAUUCUAAGCCCGAAAAUGAAACUCUUAAGCCAUACACCAUGUGAAGUAGCCUCAGAACAACAUAUGAACUCAGCUUCCAUAGUAGAAGUAGUAGUCAAGGUUUGCAUAAUGCUUCUAUAAGAUAUAGCUCCACCGGCUAAUAUAAAAAUGGAUCCAGAUGUUGAUUUACGCGAAUCAACACAACCAGCAAAGUCUGAAUCUAAGUAACCAACAACCUUUAAAUUGCUUGUCCAUCUGUACAUAAGCUUGUAAUCUUUGGUUCCUUGAAGAUACCUCAUCACUUUCUUUGCAGCUUUCCAGUGGUCCAAACUUGGGUUACUCCGAUAUCGUCCUAACAUUCCAACAACAAUUGCAAUGUCAAGCCUUGUGCAGACCUGAGCAUACAUCAAACUUCCAACUACAGAAGCAUAUGGAAUGUUCUUCAUUUGUUCCCUCUCAAUAUCAUUUUUUGGGCAUUGGUUCAGAUUGAACAUAUUAUCCUUCACUAUAGGGGAAACACUAAGUGAACAAUCCUUCAUCCAAAAUCUCUCUAAAACUUUAUUGAUAUAGGUUUCCUGAGACAGACCUAAGAUACCUUGAAAUCUGUCUCUAUGGAUCUUAAUGCCAAUGACAUAAGAUGUCUCACCCAUAUCCUUCAUGUCAAAAUUUUUAGAGAGGAAUUGUUUCACCUCAUGAAGUAAACCCUUAUCAUUGGUUACAAGUAAGAUGUCGUUCAUGUAUAAAACAAGAAAACAAACUCUACUCCCACUGACCUUAAGGUAUAUGCAUUGAUCCAUAACAUUUUCUACAAGGUCAAAUGAAGAAAUUAUGUUAUGGAAUUUUAAAUACCAUUGGCGGGAUGGUUGUUUUAAACCGUAUAUGGAUUUCUUAAGCUUACAAACCAAUUGCUCACCAUCAUUAGAGGGAAAUCCUUCAGGUUGUUUCAUGUAAACCUCUUCCUCUAGCUCUCUAUUAAGAAAUGUUGUUUUCACAUCUAUUUGUUGCAAUUCCAAAUCAAAGUGGGCUACUAAUGCCAAUAUAAUGUGCAAGGAAUCUUUCUUAGAUAUAGGAGAAAAGGUUUCCGUGUAAUCGAUUCUUUCUUUCUGAGUGAACCCCUUUGCAACAAGUCUGGCCUUGUAUCUCUCAAUGUUGCCUAAUGAGUCUUUCUUUGUCUUAAAAAACCCAUUUACAACCAAUGGCUUUUGCACUGGAUUGUAGAUCCAGAAUCAAUCCACCAUGUGUUGGUAUUUACAUUAACCAUAUUAGAUUCAUAACAAACAAAUGAGGUAGGGUUACCUUUCUUCUCAAGCUAUUUCUGAAAUUUCAGACAUUUCUUCUUCAUGUGUCAUUUCUUUUUAUAGAAAAAACACUUUUCGUCUUUCUUAAUGUCAAAUUUGGGAGGAAUUUGUUGCUUCCCUUUUUGACUGGCUUGAGAUUUUCCUUUCUUUUGCGUCACCAGCAUGACACUUUCUCCUUGUUCCAUCAAUAACCUUCCUUCCUCUUGAACACACAUGGUCAUCAAUUCAUUGAUAGACCACUUAUCCUUAUGUGUGUUGUAAGAGAUUUUGAAAGGUCCAUACUGAGGCGGAAGAGUGUUAAGGAUAAAGUGCACCAAGAAGGAUUUGGACAUUUCUACCUCGAGCUUCUUCAAUUGAGUCAGUAUGUCCAUCAUUUCCAUGAUGUGUUCACGUACACCUCUUACACUAGUGAGCUUCAGGGAUGUGAACAUAAUUAGGGUGCUUGCCAAGGCUUUAUCUGAAGUGACGAAUUGCUCGUCAAUAACCUUUAGAAAAUCGCGGACAUUCUCAUGUUGCUCGAUUGAACCAUGUAUAUCAGCAUUAAUUUUUGUCUUAAUGUACAUUAGGUUGAGGCAAUUAGAUUUCUCCCAGCAUUCGUACAAUAGAAUUUCAUCAGGUGUGCUGGUAUCAGUGAUCUUAUGUGGUUCAUCUUUCCUUAUGGCAUAGUCUAUGUCCAUGCACCCUAAUUGAAGAAGAAUUCUCUCCUUCCAUAUCUUAAAGUUAUCUCCCCUGAGUUCGAGAACCUCACAACAAAUAUCAGAUAUGCUAGUAAAACUGCACAAAAAGAUUACAAGCUUAUUAAAAUUUGAGGCUUUAAUUUAAAUUCAUGUUUUACCAAUGUAGAACAUGCUUAAAAAUUGAAUAUAAUUUUAUUAAAAAUUACAUGUUGGCUAAAUCUUUAAUUCAAUCAGAUUCAUUAUCUUUAUGAUAUACUUUAUCAAACUAUUUUACUGAAUUUAUGAAAUUUAUUAUGAAUAUAGUUUAAUAUUUUCUAUCUAUAAGCUUUAUGAUAAACCUAUUAAAUUAAUUCUUCCUAACUCUUGUGGGUAAAUUAGGAAAAAUCAAUUUUAAUAUUUUAUCUUAAUUAAUUAUAUAAACAUAAUGAAAUCCCCGUGGGGUAAAAUCGUCAUAUUUAUAUAAUUAAUUACAAUUAAUGUCCAUAAUGUGAUCCUUAUUUACUUAAUAUAUAAUUUUAUAGAAUUAAGGAUGUUGUGGCUAUUCCUUAAUUAUUUAAAAUUAUAUGGUUCAUUAGAUAUUAAAACUAUAUGAUAUAAAUUUAACAUAUCUAACACAAAUUUAGGCAACAAUUGCAUGCAACUAAAGCUACAACUUUGAGUUAUCUAACUCAAAUUUAGGCUACAUUUUUACACAUACAAACAUAUAAAUUAGAACAAAAUAAUUUAAUUUGCAUGUAUAAAAAUCACAUAAUAAUUUAAAAUUAAUUUAAAAGGAUUUCAAAUUAUGAUUAGGUACCUAAACCCAACAAAAUUAUUUCAAACAGGCCAUAAGGGCCUAAACUGGUCCAAUUUUUAACAAUCAGUUACAAGCCCAAUCAAAAAAAUAAUUUAAAUUGGGCUAUAAGGGCCUAAAUUGGUCCAAUUUUAACAAUUACCCCAUGGCCCAACAAUUAAAGCCCUUUAUUAUUAUUAUUUUUUUUGCAAAAUGGGCCAUUGCCCAUGCAUUAAGCCCAAUGGGCCCAAUAGCCACUUAUAUUAAGGCCCAAAACAAUAGUGGGACCAAUCUCUCUCUAGGUUCCACAAAUUAAUAACACCUACACCGAAACCCACCAUCCUAAUUUUUCGCCACCCCGUAGACUGCUUCAUCCCCAACAGCGCCAUGCACGCUGCGACCCGCAUGGACUGCAUCAUCACUGACAACGACGUGCUCGCUACCACCCACAUGGACUGCACCAUCACCGACUAGCUAUGGAGCCGCCUACAUCACAUGGCAGGAAGAGCCCCACCACACGCGACAACAUCACCAGCAAGAACAACUUCUGUUUUCAUCGACCAGAUCAAGAUGGUUGGCCGCGACGGCGUCAACAACCAUCACAAACGGGACAGUUGCAUCCACCGGAGUGCAGCCCUGAUUCCUCCAUUCUCGCCUUUACGCGAGCUCCUCCACGCCGAUAUUGAUACCGUGAAGACCAGUGGCGUGGGGUGGUGGGGCUGGUGUUGUGCGUGGUAGGCGAUGAGCGGAGGGAUUGGUACAGAGGUCGACGGACACUCACAAUGGCCUCUGUACCCACACCCACCAGAUUGCAACCCUAGCCCUUACCAUUGUCACCUUCGGAAAUGGGUGUACCUGAGGCAGACCCGCUUUAACAACUUAGAUUGUCGUCUGAGUUCCAUUUUAUCCCAUUGAUGAGGAGCUUCUGGUGCAGUAUUUUUUUUUUUUAUUAGGGGACUAGUUAGACUACUGGUCGGAGCCUAAGCAUUUAUAAGGGCCUGAAUGGUGAUGCUUCAAGCGUUUCAUAUAAGUACCAGUUCACAGAAAGCAUCGAAGGUUGCGACCUUUUAGCCGUGAGAAGAUGCCUUGAGUUGGAACCCGAGUGGCUGCGCCUCUUGGAUGUUUCUAUCAAGCAUGGGUAUUUCGUUUUUAAAAUAGUGAUUUGAGAUAUCAACCAAUGGAUGUUUCUAUAAAGCACACCGUAUGAUUGUAUCUUACAACCAGAAGAGAAACCAUUAACUAAGCAAUUUUGGUACAAAACAAAUACCAAGGCAGAGGAAAUAUUAAGUUUGCUCUGAUACCAAAUGUAAGAUAUUGCAUGCAAUAUAUAUUCGAUCCAAGUAUAUGAACAUUUGCAACAUGAAUCAAAUCUGAAAAAGACUUAGAAUCAUUUACUUACCUCCAACCAUUGUUUUGAGUUACUGUAAUCGGUGCAAGCCUUGAUUUCCAAACUCUGCUAUCUCCUUUUAGAUGGUGUAUUUCUAAAGAUAAAAACAACAGAGAGAUGAGUUUGGGACCAUGAGAGAUCUAUAUAACUGUGGCUUCCCAUCAUACCACAUUGUUUCUGAUUUGCCACACUAUGAGCAAUUCGUAGAACAUGCUCCUUAACCGCAGCGGAAGUGAGAGACGGUGGAGGACGUGGUCAAGGUGUUGGACCACAUCAGGGUGGUAAACAUGUGUGAACAUGUAGCUGAUAACAUGGGAUUCAAAGCAAUUACAUUUCAUCAAGAAAUGUAAAGGUCAACUAUUAUAUGCUAUUGAUAAGAAUCGAAAGUGUCAAAUAUUAUAUCCCAUUGAUUAAGGAUGAAAAUGUCAAUUAUUAUAUCUCAUUAAUUUUUCUUACCUCAAAGAAACACUCAAAAACCUUGGAGAAAUUAAUCGUGAAGAAUCUAAUUCUCAUAUAACAUAAUAAAAAUUAACUAUUACUAUUAACUAUUUAUCAAAAAUUUAUAAAUUACACAAUCCUAAUAAUAUUUUAUAUUAUUAUUAGUAAUCCUAAAUAAUUUCUUAUUUUAAUAUUAUUAUCACUAAUAUUAUUUUCAACUUUCUAAUCGAUAACAAUUUAAUUAAAAAAAUUCCAAAUUUCCAUAAAACUUAUGUCCUUUUUAAAAUUCUAUUCCAAUAAUCAUUCAAUACCUAUAUAUUUUAAACUAAAACUCCUAAAAUUGUCAUAUUAAAUUAUUAUUACUAUUAUACCAGCUUUAUACCUUACCAAAUUCUCAACAUUUUUUUUUAAAUUUUUUAUUUUUCAUUAAGGAGACUACCUUUCUUCUUUCUUUUUUAUUUUAUUUCUUUUCUUUCCUUUAUAUAUAGUAAAGACACCACAUUCUCUCCUCAUUACAAUCUUUCCUUAACUACAAAAGUAUCUUUUAUUCAUUUAUUAUUUUUUCCAUUGCCACAUGCAUUAACCAAUACACCAUUCUUAUUUUCUUGUCUUUUUUUUUCUUCCACCUUACACCCUAAACUCUCUACGUUUUUUUUUUCUUUUUCUUUUUUUCUCUUUUUUUCCCUUCAAACUGAGCCUAUCAUAUUCAAUUGCAUGUGUAGCAAGAAAGAGGGUGAAAGCUUUGAAUUCACCUCCAUUAUCAAAUUAUAAACAUUAUAAUCAAGAAUUGAAUUGAUUUUCAACUAAGGUUUUGAACUUAACGAAGGUAGGCAAAGCUUGAUCUUUAGUAUGUAAGGGAUGAAGUGAAGAAAAUUGAAAAAAAUCAUGGAAUAAUAAGAAAUAACUUGCACUAGUUGUGGAGAUAAUAGUGGCAGGAUCUCACAAAUCAGUACGGACUAAAGUAAAAGGAUGAGAAGCUCUGGAUUCAAAUAAUGGAAAAGGUAAUCUAUGGUUUUUUUUCAUAUUGGCAAACACAACAAGCAUUAUGUUUAUGACCGUCAUUAGAGAUAUUACAAGAUGUAAGAAUCUACUUCAAAGUAUCAACAACAGAAUUACCAAAACUUGAGUACCAAAGUUUAGCCAAGUUAUUCAAAUUCAUAGUAAAAGAGCCAUGACCAAAAAUAAAGAGGGCUAAAGGUGCAUCAUAAUAUUUAUUGUGUUUCCAAAAAUAUAUUAAUUGAUUAAAUCCAAAAAUCAUUUUUUUAAAAUUUGAAGAAGGUAGCUAUGAAUUGGAUAUUUAAAAAAAAAAAUCAUUUUACAAUAAUUAAUCUCUCUCUAAUUUAUUUUUCAUUUACUGUGAUAUUUCAUCUUUAUUAAUCAAAAUAAAUGUCCACAAAAAAGUAAUUAAAUAAUAUAAACUUUAAAUUAUUAACUACAAAGACCAAUCAAAUUUAUUAAACCACGAAUUUAAUUAUUUUUAUAUUAGUAGGGCAAAUAAUUCAAAAAAUUAAUAAAAUAUUUACAAGCUAUUGAAUAGUGGAGAGUAGAACAUGACAUUUUGGUGGACCAAGACUAGCUCCCACAAGGGACGUUGAUACACUAUUUAAAAGAUAAGCCUCCUGAUAACCUUAUCUGACACGUCAUUCGUGCUUAUAAUUUCUUUACUUUUUCCAUAAUGGGGUUAAACAUUGAUCAACCCAACGUGCACUACACACUUGCAAGGUUUCCAUCACUCUAAUGCUUAAAUAAACCUUUUUGUAGUAAUGAUUGUCGAUGUGGGAUUGCAAGAAUUUGAAUUUUGAAAAGGGAAAAUCAAUGUUUUCAGAACCGGACCGGUGAUCGAACCGGAAAAGUUACCGGUUCACGGUUCACUGGUCGGACCGGCGGUCGAACCGUUAUCGAACCGCUAUCGAACCGGUGACGUCAUAAAUAUAUAAUUUAUAUAUUAUUAAAAUUAAAAAUAAUUAUAAAAAUUUUAAAAUAUAUAUGAAUAAAUUAAACAUCAAUAAUAUUAUUUUAUAUAUUUGAUAUUAUCAAAUUAAAUCAUAUUAAAUGAAAUGUAUACAAUAUUUAAAUGUGAAUAUAUUAAAAAUGAAAAUUUUAACUAAUUUAUAAUUUUUAAAUAUAUUAUAUUAUUUUUAUUUAAUAUUAUAAAAAAAUUAAAAUCCAAUAUAUAUUGUUUUGUUUGGCAUAUCAAAUAACAAAUCAGUGUAGCCGAGUGGUGUCCUAAUGCACUUCAAAACCUGAGGUCCCAGCUUCAAAUCCCCUUCUUGCAUUUGUUAAAUUUUUUUCAUUCAUAUUAUCAUAAUACUAUAAUAGUUUGCAAUCCCACAUCGGUGAGAGAAAUAAGGGUGCAAAGGAUGCCUAUAAAAGGCAUCCUUGUUGAAAGCUACAGCACACGUCAACCUUGUGGGCUCAAGACUGAGCCUACUUAAAUGGUUUGGGUGUGGGCUUUGUCAUGCAAAGACAUGGCCCAGUAUGGUCUUUGGCCUACAACGCUUAAUAUUUUAUACAACGGGCUUGCAAAAUGAUGGGCCAAUAUGGACUGUUCGGUUCGUUUAGAACCGUCCGGUUCUACCGGUUCACCGGUUCGACCACUGGUUCAGACGGUUCGUAACCGGUCCAAUAGUUAAACGGUUUAAUAUGGAGGACCGGACCGAAAAUGUGACCGAUUGACGGUUGGACCGACCGGUCCGGUCCGGUUUUUAAAACAUUGGGGAAAAUCCAAGAGAAAUGAAACGGGCUUAUGAUUGUCCACCAACACCAACUGACCAACCAUGCUUCAUUUGACAAAAUGAAGAUAUUAUAUGUAUAUAUAUAUAUAUAUAUGUAUGUAUGUGUGUGUGUGCAUUAUUAGCAUUAAAUAUAUUAAUCAUAUAUAUAAACAAAUAUUAUAAAUUAUAUACAUAUAUUAUAAAUAAAUCAUAAUUAAAUUAUUAUAAAUAAAUUAUUUUUUGUUAUUGUGACUUUUAUAUAAUAAUUAUAUAUAAAACAAAUAUAAAUUUUUUAAUAAAAUUAUCAAAAUUUUAAAAUAAAAAUAUUUAAACAAAUUAUUAUUAUUUCUUUUAUGUCAUUAAAUACAUCUAAAUUAGAUGAUUAUGCAUAAAGUAUGUUUUCAAGUUAUAAAUAUUAUUGUUAAAUAUAACAACGGUGUAUAUAUCAUCAUUUAUUUUAUAUUAUUUAAUAUAAUUGAAUUAAAUUAAAUCAUAAUUUUAAUAUUAAAUAUAUUUCAAAAUUAGAUAUAUUAUAAUCAAAUAUCAUAAUAUUAUUAUGAAAUAAUAUUUAAUGUGAUUUAAUAAUAAAUAUACACUUAUAAAAUUCAUAUUUUUUAUUGAUACAUAUGAUAUUAUCAUCAAAUAUGAUAAAUCAUAUUAUACAUAUAUCAAAUUCUUCAACAAAAUAAUUUUAAAAUGUCUAUUAUAUUUCUAAUUACAUUUUUACAAUUCUUACAUUUUCAUGAAUUUUGAUCAAUUUUAAGCCUAUUGACAUUUUUUUUUCAAAAUAUCCUUCGAUAUAUCCAAUAUAUCCCCGAUAUAUCCAAUAUAUCCCUAAUAUAUCCAUAAAAUCGAAUUACCGAUACAUCUGUGAUUACCGAUAUUUUCAUCCUUAGUCAUAUUUGGAAAAUUCGAGAAAGAAGAGCAAGGGUAUCAAUUUUUAGGCAAUAGACAAAAAUGUCAAAUUUCCACUUGCCCAAAAAUGUUGAUUCACGACAAAACAUACAUCACUUUUAGGUAUUAUUGCAUACCAUUAUGUCCACCCUAGAAGAUGGAUCUAGUAACUUGAUGGCUCAAUGUGGAAAACAAAGAGAAAAAUUUAUUGUACAAGUAAAGUCUAGAAGAUGGGUAAUUUUCCUACUCAACCUCCUCCUGAACUCUAUAAAUACUCCCCUAAUCUUCCUCAUAUUCAUCUCUCAAAAGUCUCUCUUCAUCUCUUUCAUAACCUUCAACUUAGUCUCUUUCUAUUGUUUCUCAUAAAAUCAAGGUUUGUACUCACUCUUAUCUCUCUCUCUCUCUCUAUAUAUAUAUAUAUAUAUAUAUAGAUGUUAGUCGCCUUCAAUGUAUGCAUCUGAGAACUAUGGAUGAAUGAUAUGACAUGAAUUUCAAGAUGAAGGUUGAGUAGUGACCUAUGGAUAUGGUUUUCAUUAUCUCUCUACAUGAUCUUAAUUAUAGUCUUAACCUUUUGAUCUGUGUUUUGCAGGCAGUCGUUCAUUUGCUUUCUUUCAAAUAUACAGUUAUAAUCCAUGGAGUUGAACUUAGCACCAAAGUUUGCACAAAAGAUCUUCGAAGGAGAAGGUGAAACAUAUUACAGUUGGUCAAGUGCUGAAUAUGAAUUGCUCAAGGAAGCAAAGGUUGGUGGUGGAAGGCUUGUUCUUCAGCCUCGUGGCUUCGCUCUCCCUUACUAUGCUGACAUAAGUUGUUCCUUUGUGUUCAGAAAAGCUAUUGCUGCAUUGAUUUUGGAAAUUUAAUUUAUAGUAUAAGGCCAAAUAGAAGCCUUAAAUUAGGUUAAGAACCUUAGUGACAAGGAGUUGGGUUUAAUUUUGUGCACAAAAAUUUAUCCCUUCCUAAUUUUGUUAUAAAUGUGAUAUUAUAAAAGAGAGAUUCAUUUUCUUGUAAAAUUGGUUAUGAAUGUGGACAAUGCUCCCAUCUCUUUCCUUCAAUCAAACUCUUCAAAUGUAAAAUUAAUAUCACGAUUCAAACGAUUCUUAAUAGAUCUACUAAAAAUGAAAAAGAGAUUCGGAUGUGCCUACUUUAUAUGGCUUUAUAUCGAUCAAAAUCUUCACAAUCAUUCAUGUCCUUGGCACAGUACCUCAUGUUCCUUAAUGUAUAUUUCAACUUCGUAUUAAGACUAACAAAUUAUGUAAACUCUAUUUUUGUUGAAGGAAUCUUUAAAGAUUGCUAUUGAAAACUUAAGAAAUGGAGAACCAAGACUCAAUGGAUAACUAUCUUCUUGUGUAUACUCUUCAACUGAGUAAAAUAAUUUGUUUGUAUUAAAACAUUAGAAAAUAAAUUUGGAGAAGAACAUCAUGUAGAUCACUAUUUUAUAUGUACAUCUGUGAGAUGGAAAAUGUUGUACUACUAUUAAUUAUAUGGCAAUAAGUUGUUCCUUUGUGUGAUCAGAAAUUCUAUUGCUGCAUUGAUUUUGGAAAUUUAAUUCAAAGUAUAAGGCCAAAUAAAAGCCUUAAAUUAGGUUAAGAACCUUAGUGACAAGGAGUUGGGUUUAAUUUUGUGCACAAAAAUUUAUCCCUUCCUAAUUUUGUUAUAUAUGUGAUAUUAUAAAAGAGAGAUUCAUUUUCUUGUAAAAUUGGUUAUGAAUGUGGACAUUGCUCCCAUCUCUUUCCUUCAAUCAAACUCUUCAAAUGUAAAAUUAAUAUCACGAUUCAAACAAUUCUUAAUAAAUCUACUAAAAAUGAAAAAGAGAUCCGGAUGUGCCUACUUUAUAUGGCUUUAUAUCGAUCAAAAUCUUCACAAUCAAUCAUGUCCUUGGCACAGUACCUUAUGUUCCUUAAUGAAUAUUUCAACUUCGUAUUAACACUAACAAAUUAUGUAAGCUCUAUUUUUGUUGAAGGAAUCUUUAAAGAUUGGUAUUGAAAACUUAAGAAAUGGAGAACGAAGGCUCAAUGGAUAACUAUCUUCUUGUGUAUACUCUUCAACUGAGUAAAUUUGGAGAACAACAUCAUAUUGUAGAUCACUAUUUUUUUUUUCCCGACAUGAACCCAUUUUAACUUUUGAUUUUAUGUUUUAGCUCUCAAUUUUUAAUUUUUAAUUUCUAAUUCUUAAAUUUUAACUUUAAGCAAUCAACUUUAAGAGUACUAAACUCUGCACAAAAGGAGAUUCCCACGUUUUAUUUUAUGUGGAUUGCCAAGAUUUUGGACUUUAGGAAAAUAUAAGUGUCCUGUUUGAUAACUAUUUUUUAGAAUAGUUUUUUAUUUUUUAAAACAAAAAAUACAGGAAACAUGUUUAACAACCAAAAACUAUUUUCCGUUUUAUAUUCUAAAUUAAAAAAAAAAUGGGGUUUCAUAUAACACUUUUUAGUUGUUUUUUUUUUAUUAUUUUCACUUGUUUUGUAAAGAUUGUUUUAAAGAAUAAUUAUAUAAACAUAUAGAAUGAUUAAAAAUAAAACACUACAUAUUAAAAUUAUUUUUAAAACAUAUUUUAAAAUAUUUAAAAUAAAUUAAAAAUAUUUUAGGUUUUCAAAUAGACUUUUGUUCUACAAAAAAUCAUAUAAUAGUUUUCAAAAAUUGUUCUCAAAAACUAUUUUUCAGAAUUAUUUUUGAAAACAGAUACCAAACAUACCCUUAAUGUUGACUUUUGGGGCAUGACAAUCCAAAUUAAAAGUCACAUUUUUAUUUUUUGGAGUUUUUGAUAUUUAUACAGCUUUAUUAAAUUACAAUUCUAAGAAUAUUUUAGGAUUUAUAAAAAUUUAAAAAGUAUUUUCAAAUUUAUGACUUUUGUGAAAUUUCAAUUGAAAGUUUUCUAUUAAAGAGAUAACUUCAAUGGGAACUUAUCUUUUAAGUAAAAAAGAAAAAAAUAAUAAAAAGAAAAAGAAAGAAAAAUCAAAGAGGAAAUAAAAGAUAAUACAACAUGCAUGCAAUCGAUUUUCAUUACAUUCUCUUUUAAGGUUUCUAUAUAUAUGGGAGUUAUGAUUUUCUCGUAAUGCCAAAAAUACCCAAAGUUUUCCUAUAUAUAUAGGAAGUUGUUUCCCUUUGGAUUUUUACUUCGAUAGGCAAUAAGUUGUAAUUUCCUUAGAAAAUGGGGCUCUAUAUUUACUUAUAAAAGUCAUAGAUCCAUCAUCAGAUGAUAUCAGUUAUCUUUAUGACAAAAUAUUUAAGAUGAUUAAGAAAGAAAAAUCUAUGUUCUACAUACCAGCAUUCAAAGUUCUUGAUUUCAAACAAGACUUCAAUUAUGCAUUAAGGUAUGUCUAACAAUUUUAUUAUUGUGAAAUCACAAAAUUCAAAGUUUCUUGAGAUUAUGAAUCCUUUUCCAUAAAUUAGCAAUAAAUUAUUGAAGAGAAAGCUUUAUACAAUUCAGUCCAUAUACUCUUAUAACCACUAAUUAUAGCUAUAUACAUCUCAUAGGUUGGUCAUAAUGUAAUUUUUAGAAAAAAAAAAUGACGGUUCAAAAUGUAAACCUAACAACGUGUUAGAUUACGGUUUGUUAUUUGGCUCCAAAGAAGCAAACCUAAGGUUUUGUUGACUUCAGAUUUGAUAUCUCACAACCAAUUGAUUGUUAGCUAGAUUAAUAAAUGGCUAAUAUUUGGGGGUAAUAAUCUUUUCAAUGGAAAAUUAAUGCAACUUAGUUCAACAACUUGUAUUAGGUUGCAUAGUACAAGCCUCUACUUGAAGAGGGUUUAGUACAUGCUUAUCAUGUCAAGGAAUUAUUUAUCACUAUCAACUUUAGCACAUGCGUACGAUGAGGUAAGAAAAAUAAGCAAAGAUUCCAAACUUUUUUACUUAAGGAAUAAUUUUAACCCUAGACUAUGUAAAAAUAUUAAUAGUGAUUUUUUAUUUUAAUAUUUUAUUAAAAAAAAAUGAAUCAAAAAAUCAAUACGACCAAAUAGGUGGAGCAAAGUUUUAUCUCAUAUUAUAAUGUCCAUGUGUUUAAAUCACAUCUGGGUUUUCCAUUUAGUUAUGAGGAAAAAUUCUACUAUAAUAAGCAUUUACUUGGUAUUUGAGUAUAGUUUAGAUUUCACAUUAAAUCAAGACACAUGCCUAUGUAUAUUGAAUGAGAGUAAACUAUUUUAAUAUUACCAUAUAAAAUAUUACAAAAAUUAAAUAAAAAUUAGACACAACUAUCAAGCUUUGAAACAUCUCAUGUUUUUUUAUUCCUUAUAUCUAUAACUUAAAACACGAGCUCUUACUUCAAAAUGUUUGUCACUCUUGCUCAUGCAUGUACAUGAUCAUUUUCAUCUCAUAAUUUUUCCCCUUCAUGACCUAUAUAUAAUAUUUAUAAAAAUAUUGUUAACAACUUUCUUUACUUUAUAACAUUGAUCGAAUUUCAUCUAAGUCCUUUUAUCUCUCUAUUAUAUAAAAAUUUGUGAUUCAUAUAGCCUUGUUACACAUGUUUUUACUAGUGCACAUGACUUCUCUAAUAUACCAUAAUUAAGGUGGUCAAUUUUUUUAUUCUACCUAUAAACUUGCUUGAAUCAGAUUAAUCUUGACUCCAUACCAUGACUUUCUUAUGCACCACGGUCUCCUCAUAUGCCAUGACCCCAUCAUGCAUCACACACUCUUUGUUUGGCUUCUAUCAUAUCUAUUCAGAUUCAAAAAUUAUUACCAUUUCCACGUUUCAUAUAUCACAUGCCAAUGAGAGAAAAAUUCACUCCACCUUCAAUCAAAAUUUUUUGUGCAAUCCUCUUGUGUGUUCCAUUUGAACUUUGGAUAUUUUUCUUAUCUUCUCAAGGAAUUUUUAUGAUGUGCUCUUCUAGAAAUCUGGGUCCUUAUAACAUGCAGUUAAUUAAAUAAUAAGACACUUUUUUCUACCAUGUUGCAGUGUCUGAUUGCAUUACCUUUAAUUCACACUAACUUUGGAAUCUGAGGAUGUUACUUCCGAGCAAAAUUGGUUGUACAAUCUUGGAGAGUGUCACACUCUACUCCAUGAACAUUAUCAACAGUACCAGAGAAUAUCAUGGAUGAUUUUUUGUACGAAAUAAUAUCUCUCAAUAUGGGUUAAAAUCUGUUAUUAUCAUUUGAUAGGGAGAGGAGCUUUCGGAUUUUUUUUAUUUUUUUUAUUUUUUUUUUAUUAAAGUAAUUAGAUGAUAAGGAAAAAAGAUUUUUCACAUAUGCAUACCAUGAAAAACAUAAUAGGAAAAAAAAUAGAGUAAAUUCUAAAAGAUUAUCUUUCAUUUUUUUUUUCUAAAAUAAUAAUAAUAAUAAAAUUUAAAAAAAAAAAAAAAACCAUUCCUCAUAAUUUUUUUUCUUUCAUUUUUUCAUAAACAAUCAAGUAAAAUAAAAAUUUUAUACUUUUUCUUUUGUUCUCUUUUCUUUCCUUAAUUUCUUUUUCUCAAACUUCUUGAUACUUGCUGAGCAUUGCCUAAUGAUUUUAUUAACUCCUUAAAUGUAGUUUUUAAUUUGCUUUGUUGGAGGAAAUACACCCACAUUAUAUAUUCAAUGGGAGUUUGCACAAAAAAUCUUUAAAGGAGAAGGUAGUUCAUACAAUAGUUAGUCACAAUGUAUUAACUCAAAAUAAAAGGAAAUAUUCAUUUUCAUUCAUAUGUCUUAGUGAAAUGAUACAUCAAUAUUUAUAGGGAUCAAUCUCAAUUAGAGUGCUUAAAAUUAAGCUCUAUCACCACUCUAAUGACUUAUCUACAACUAAUAUUGUACAACAAGAUUAACAGUCAAUCAACCUAUAAAUUAAAAUAAAGACAAUUAAGGAUAAUUAUAAUUAAUCAAGAAAUUCCAACACUUCCCCUCAAGUUGGUGCAUAGAUGUCACACAUGCUCAACUUGUCUAAAAACUUUGAGAACACUCAAUUUGACAUUGCUUUGGUGAGAAUGUCAACCAAUUAGUCUUUUGAUUGAAUCUUGGUCAACUCUACAAUUUUUUCAUCUAACUUCUUCUUAAUGAAGAAUUUGUUUACCUCUACAAUUUUUUUAAAAUUUUUCAUUCACCCAUGUUGGGUUUAGUCCUCUAAACUUGAUAUAUCUGAAUUUUGAAAAAAAUGUGGAUGCUUCUCUCAUCUCCUCAUCUAAUUCCCAAGUGGCCUCUCGAAAACUAUAAUUGUUCCAUUGAACCUCUACCAACUUGGCAAUAGCAUAACCUAGUACCUUAUCUAUCACAUCUACAAUCAGAACGGGUAGUUCUUCAUCAGUCAAAUCCUUUGACAUUUGAAUAGGCUCCAACUCUACAACAUGAGAGGGAUAAAAAAACAUACUUCCUCAAAGCCGAUACAUGAAACACAUUAUGAAUCUUAAACAAUCUUGGGGGCAAGGACACUUUAUAUGCUAAGGUGCCUACUCUUUCCAAGAUUUCAAACGGUCCCACAAACUGAGGAUUGAGCUUUCUGUUUCUCUCGAAUCCCAUCGUAGACUUUGUAGGCAAAACUUUUAAGAGAACAUGAUCACCAACCUCAAACUCCAAAUCUCACAUGUGAUUAUCAGCAUAACUCUUUUGUUUACUUUGAGCUGUUUUCAAUCUUUAUUUAAUCAAGUCAUACUUUUCAAUAGUUAACUGCACAAGUUCAAGCCCAAAAAGUUUCCUCUCUCUAACAUCAUCCUAAUAAACAGGAGAUCGACAUCUCCUACCAUACAAUCCCUCAAAAGGUGUCAUCCCAAUGCUAACUUAAAAGCUAUUAUUAUAGGCAAAUUUUACUAAAGGUAGUUAAUCAUCUCAAUUACCUUUUAGGUCUAAAGUACAAGCUCUUAACAAAUCUUUUAAAACCUGAAUUACCCUCUUUAAUUGACCAUCGGUUUGAGAAUGGAAAACAAUACUAAAACUCAACUUAGUAACCAAAGUUUUCUGUAAACUAUGCCAAAAUCUAGAAGCAAAACGAGGGUCCUUAUUGAAUACUAUAGAAAUAGGUACCCUGUGCAUCCUCACAAUCUUCUUGACAUAAAAAGAAGCCAAUCGGUCCAUGGAGAAACUAAUUUUCAUAGGUAGAAAAUAAGUAGAGUUAGUCAAUCAAUCAACAAUCACCCAAAUAAAAUUAUUACUGCCUAAGUGGUAACCCUAUCACAUAAUCCAUGGUAAUAUGUUCACAUUUCCAUUUAGGAAUAGAAAGUGGUUGCAAAGACCUUAUUGGGUGUAUAUGUGUAGCUUUCACCUGUUGACACACUAAACACUAAGCCACAAAUUGUGCAAUAUCUCGCUUCAUGCCUGACCACCAAUAAUUCUGCCUCAAAUCUUGGUACAUCUUCAAGCCUCCUACAUGGAUUAUAAGUCUAGGACAAUGCGCUUCCUUCAAAAACUCUCUUCUUAAGUCUCCAUCAUUUGGGACACUAAGUCUAGUCCCAAAUCUUAAGAUUUCAUCAUAUGAUAACAUAAAGUCAAGCUUACCGCUCUUCUUAACUUCCUUCAUAAGUUGGACUAAUUGCAAAUCAUUCUUUUAUAAGGUCUUAAUUAUCCUAACCAAGUCUUGUUGUACUAUGAAAUUCACUACAAGAGCUCUUGAGUUCCGAACUCUGAUAUGGAUUUGUAAACACCUCAAAUCCUCUAAUAAUCGCCUCUAACAACUUCUAAUAGUUGCUAAGGGACCAACUGAUUUCUUGCUCAAGGCAUCAACCACAACAUUUGCUUUCUUCGGAUGAUAUUGAAUAAUGUUGUCAUAGUCCUUAAGUAACUCUAUCCAUUUCCUUUGUUUCAUGUUUAAUUCCUUUUAGGAAAACAAAUACUUCAAACUCUUAUGAUUUGUGAAUAUCUCACAAGUUUCACUGGAAAGGAAAUGUCUUUAAAUCUUAAGUGCAAAAACACUACAACUAGCUCUAAAUCAUGAGUGGGGUAUUUUUGCUAACAAGGCUUUAGCUGUCUAGAAGCAUAAGCCACAACUUUCUUAUUUUGCAUAAGAACACACCCCAAACCCUAAUGAGAGGCAUCAUUAUACACUCAUGUUCCUCUACUUCUCAAGUACACUAAAAUAUUAUCUAUAAAAACCACGACAAACUAAUCUAGAUAGGGUUUGAAUACCCUAUAAGUCCAUAAAGGCAGUAGGUGCAUUAGUUAAACCAAAAGGCAUAGUAAAAAAAGCUCAUAAUGCUAUCUAGUUUCAAAAAACAUUCUCUUGAGUAUAUUCUCAUUUCUAACCCUCAAUUGAUGAUAUCUAGACCGAAGAUCGAUCUUAGAGAACACACAUGCACCCUAAGCUGGUCAAACAAAUCAUUAAUAUGAGAAAGAGAAUACUUGUUUCUCACCAUCACCUUAUUUAACUCUCUAUAAUCAAUGAAAAGUCUUAUUAAUCUAUCAUUCUUCUUCACAAAUAAAAUAGGAGCUCUCUUCACAAAUCAUGAAUCCGAGGAAGAGAAUACUUGUUUCUCACAAUCACCUUAUUUAACUCUCCAUAAUCAAUGCAAAGUCUCAUGGAUAGGUCAUUCUUCUUCACAAAUAGAAUAUGAGUUCCUCAAGGUGAAACAUUGGGCCUAAUAAAACCUUUAUUUAACAACUCCCGAAGUUGAAUCUUCAACUCCUUAAGUUCUAUAGGUGCCAUCCUGUGUGAGGCCUUAGAGAUAUGAGUUCUUCAUGUUACCAAAUCAAUGGUAAACUCCACCUUCCUUUAGUGGUAAGCUAGGCAAAUCGUUUAGAAAGACAUAAGGAUAAUUCCUUACAAUGGGUAUGUUCUCCAACCUUAAAUCAUUUUCGUUACUCACCACAUAUGCCAAAAAGCCUUGAUAACCCUUCCUUAUCGAGAAAAUAACUAGUUUGCAAGGUUGAGAUCAUACGUAAUGGUCUCUCCACAUGUUUCCCCUCAAAACUAAACUCAAGUUGAAAAAAAAAAUGUGAAACAUAAACCUUUUUCCAAAAAAAAAAUCAACAAAGACAUGAUAGGAAGCUAAUCAAUCCAUUCCCAAAAUCACAUUAAAAUGCUAAAGGUCAAGGAGUGCUAAGUUAACUAACAUCUCCCUAUAACCAAUAUAUCAUCAUAAGAUAAUCUUUAAGCAUUCUACUGGCCACAUCAGAAUCUCCUAAAGGAGUAGAAACAUUAAUCAAAUCAAAGUCCAUGCUAGCCACUGACGUACGUAACAAACUAAUGAAAGAUAUUGAAACAAAAUAAUGCAUUGUGCUUGGAUUCACCACUAAGAAACCAAUUAGACAAUUUAAAAUUAUGAGGAAGAAUAUGUAGGAAUUUAUACUAGAUGAAGCUAAAACUUAAACUAUUGUGUCACUCAUCUAUCCCUAAAGUAAACUAAAUCAAGUUCCCAACAAGAUCAUAACCUAAUGCUCUUAUACCAUUCUGUCAUGCCCUAAAACCUACUCUAAGGGUGUGAUGGUCAUUUUACACCUCAAGCUUAAAGGCUUAAAGUGCGAACGACUCAAACAGUCAUCUUAUAACUAGAAGGUUAACAAUUACUAAAUUCUUGUUCAAAGUAGUAAAAUAAAACAUUUCUAUAAUCCUUAAAUCUCAACUUUAAAACUAACACAUCAAUCAAAGUACUAUUGUCCAAAUAACUCCAAACUCAAAUAAUUCAAAUAAUAAUUAAAUUCUAACAUCUAAAUAAUAUCCAAAAUAAAGUUUAAAACAAAAUCCUAAUAAAGACAAUUUCCAAGCCUAACCAUCACUCCUCGCUUGAAUUGAGAAUACUAGAAAAAAAUUGAGGGAAUGAGCUCAAAACCCAAUACGAAAUACUAAAAUAGUUUCAUAAAUCAAACAAUUUCAAUUAUGAUUACAAAUAAGAGAUACAAUAUACAAUUUUUUUUUUCAUAAAAUGAGUUUGAAUAUACUAAAGCGUCCAAAUUUUUUCAAUUUUUUAUUUUUUAUUUUAUAUAUAUAUAUAUAUAUGUCAAAACAAUUUCAUAUCAAAUCAUGCAUUCAAAAUAUUUUACUUUGGUUAUUAGAUAACAAAUGAUGCCCAAUUAAGUGAGACUAUACAAAUGGGUGACUAACCUUAAAUUUAUUAUUUUUAAGGUCGAUGAAACCAAAUACUACUGAUACUAGUAACCUCUAACCAAACCCUUAAAGGUUGAGAUUCAAAGCAAUUACAUUCCCCACCAAGAAAUAUAAAGGUUAACUAUUAUAUCUCGUUAAUUAGGGCAAAAAAUGUCAACUAUUAUAUCUUGUUGACUAGGGUCAAACAAAUCAUAAUCAAACACUUCGUUCCAUUUAUUCAAACAUACAUAAACAUAAUAUCUCUAUAUUUUUUUGUUAUAAUCAAAGAAAAAAGUUUUAAUAUAUUUUUCACGCAAGAUAUAUUUGAUCCAUGCAUAAAAACAAAAAUAAUAUUUUACAUAUUUGCAAAUAACAUAUAAAAAGAAAAUCAUUUUUUUUUACAAAAUUCACAUUAAUUUCCCUUACCUCAAAUAAGCACUCAAAAACCUUGAAGAAAUUAAUUGUGUAGAAUCUAUUCCUUACAUCACAUAACAAAAAAAUAACUAUUACUAUUGACUAUUUAUCUAAAAGUUAUAAAUUAGGCAAACCUAACAAUAUUUUAUGUUUGUAUUAGUGAUCCUAAAUAAUUUCCUAUGCUAAUAUCAUUAUCACUAAUAUUAUUUUCAACUUCCUAAACCAUAACAAUUUAAUUAAAGAAUUUCCAAAUUUCCAUAAAACAUAUGUUCUUUCCAAAAAUCUAUUGUCAAUAAUCAUUCAAUCGUUCAGCCCCACAUUUUGUUCGAUAUUUUGGGACAAGACCAUCUAUUUUCAAUCCCAUGUGUAGCAAGAAAGGGAGUGAAAGCUUUGAAUUUACUUCCAUUAUUGGAUUAUAAACAUUGUAAUCAACAAUUGAAUUGAUUUUCAGCUAAGGUUUUGAACUUGUGGAAGGUAGGCAAAACUUGAUCUUUAGUAUGUAAGGGAUAAAGCCAAGAAAACUAAGAAAAAUUAUCAAGGAAUAUUAAGAAAUAACUUGCACCAAUUGUGGAGAUAACAGUGGCAGGACCUCACAAAUCGGUAUGAACUAAAGCAAGAGGAUGAGAAGCUCUAGAUUCAAAUAAUGGAAAUGGUGAUCUCUGGCUUUAUGCAUAUUAGCAAGCACAACAAACAUUAUGUCUAUGACAGUCAUCAGAGAUAUUACAAGAUGUAAGAAUUUGCUUCGAAGUAUUAUCAACACAAUGACCAAGAUCGGAGUGCCAAGGUUCAGCCAAGUUAUCCAAAUUCGUAAUAGUAGAGAAGCCAUGACAAGAAGUAAAGACGACUGAAGGUGCAUCAUAAUAUUUAUUGUGUUUCCAAAAAUACAUUAAUAGAUUAAAUCCAAAAUCUUUUUAUUUAGUUAUUUAUUAAUAAUUUUAAGAAGGUAGCUAUGAAUUGUAUAUUAAAAUAAAAAUCAUUUUACAAUAAUUAAUCCCUCUCUAAUUUAUUUUGCAUGUAAUGUGAUAUUUCAUCCUUAUUAAUCAAAAUAAAUGUCCACCAAAAAUAAUAUAAACUUUAAAUUGUCAACUAUCAAGGUGUUCAUUUUGUUAGAGUCAUUCAAUCGAGGCCACCAUGUAUAAAACCAUAAAUUUAAUUAUUUUUAUAUUAGUCCAAAUAAUUCAAAAUAUUAAUAAAAUAUUUACAAGCUAUUGCAUGGUGGUACAACAUGAAGUUUUGGUGGAAUUUUCCCACAGGGACGUUGAGAAGCUACUUACAAAGAUAAGGUUCCUGAUAAACCUUAUCUCACGCAUCAUUCCUACUUAUAAUUCCUUUACUUUUCAACUUUGUGAAGAUAUUUUUUUCAUUGAAUAAGAAAAUGUUACGAUAAUAAUACCAAUUAAAAUUUGGUUGUGAUCUCUAUAUCUAAUUGCGAAAAGCACUUUUUAAUUUCCAACGUAUGAUAAUUGGAAAAUUCGGUAAGGAAGAGCAAGGACAUCAAUUGAAAAGGCAUGAACUUUGUGGAUAUGCAACAAGGUUUAUCAGUCUGUUUGAUUUUGAAAUUUGAUUUUUUUAUAGGGGCUUUUUGGGUACAAAAUUUUUAUUUAUAGCGUUUUCUCAAGUAUAAAAUUUUUACAAGAUAACACUAAUUUUAGAUAUACUUUGCCACCAUCAUCUCUCCAAGGGAAUCUCUCAUGCAUCAUUCAAACUUUAUGGUUAUAUUUAUCUUUUGAUUAAUUGUAUUGCAUGCACUUUUGUCAAAGCCCAAUUUGAACUCAAAUUCUAUAGAAAUAUUAGUUUGUGAAAAGUUCGAAAACCAGGAAGAGAUGAUGAAUUUGCAGAAGUCAAAAGAAAAGGAUAAAUCUUCCAAACUCUAGAAGAUGGAUUGUGUGUAAAGCAAAGAGAAAAAUGUGUUGUACAAGUAAAGUCCAGAAGAUGGGGAAUUUUCCUACUCAACCUCCUCCCGAACUCUAUAAAUACUCCCCUAAUCUUCCUCAUAUUCAUCUCUCAAAAGUCUCUCUUCAUCUCUUUCAUAACAUUCAAAUUAGUCUCUUUCUAUUGUUUCUCAUAAAAUCAAGGUUUGUACUCACUCUUAUCUAUCUAUCUAUCUAUCUAUAUGUAUAUGUUAGUGGCCUUCCAUGUACACAUCUGAGAACUAUGGAUGAAUGAUAUGACCUGAAUUUCAAGAUGAAGGUUGAGCUUGUUUUUUCCACAUUAGCCCACUUUGUCUACUCUACCCCAUUACUCCACCUGAUUUUCAUUAUCUCUCUACAUGAUCUUAAUCGUAGUCUUAACCUUUUGAUCUGUGUUUUGCAGGCAGUCGUUCAUUUGCUUUCUUUCAAAUAUACAGACAUAAUCCAUGGCGUUGAACUUAGCACCAAAGUUUGCACAAAAGAUCUUCGAAGGAGAAGGUGGAACAUAUUACCGUUGGUCAAGUGCUGAAUAUGAAUUGCUCAAGGAAGCAAAGGUUGGUGGUGGAAGGCUUGUUCUGCAGCCUCGUGGCUUCGCUCUCCCUCACUAUGCUGACUCCAACAAAAUUGGUUAUGUUCUUCAAGGUCUGUAAAUCCCCGAGCUUUUUAUGUCUUAUUCUUGAUUAGAACUCUUUUUCUAUUUCUUUUUCUUUUUCUUUAGAGAAUUGUUAAUCAUUCCUCCCUAAAAUCUCUUCACCUCAAUUUUCUUUUCUUUCUCAAAAACUAGAACAAAAAGAGUGCACACAGCCAUGGUAGUCGGCUGUGACUGGUGUGAGAGGGAGAGGGGGUCGCCAUGACAUGCAAGAAUGAAAAAGAGAAGAAAGGAACAAGACUAGAAUUGAAGAAAGAAAAGGGAUAAGAGAGAGAUGAAAGAAGUUGAGGGCUAGGGUUAUAUUUGGGAAAAGGAAAAAGAAAUUGAAAAGAGAGAGAGAGAGAGAGAGAGAAAGUGGGCCCUUCAAUACUUCUCUUUUUUUUUAUGUUUCUUUCAAAAUGAUUCUCUGACAUUACCCACUGUGCCAUCAAACCCUAUCCCAGUGGCUCAUUUAUGAAAAUAUAUUUUGUCCACAUCCAGGCAGCUGUGGAGUAGUUGGAAUCGUAUCACCCAAAGCAUCCCAAGAGGUGGUGUUGAGGCUCAAGAAAGGAGAUAUAAUACCAGUGCCCUCUGGAGCAGUUUCAUGGUGGUACAAUGAUGGAGACUCAGAACUAAUUAUCGUAUUCCUUGGUGAAACUUCCAAGGCUUAUGUUCCCGGAGAAUUCACAUACUUCCUACUAACCGGAACUCAAGGAAUCCUUGGAGGUUUUUCCACUGAAUUUAACUCCAGAGCCUAUGAUAUCAACAACGAAGAAGCCAAAAAGCUUGCAAGAAGCCAAUCUGGCGUCUUGAUAAUUAAGCUACCAGAGGGCCACAAAAUGCCCCACCCCUGCAAGAACAGUACUGAUAAAUUGGUGUUUAAUAUUGAUGCUGCAUUACCUGAUAUCCAUGUCCAAAAUGCUGGAUUGCUUACUGCAUUGACAGCAAAGAAGUUUCCCUUCCUUGGAGAAGUUGGGCUCAGCGCCACCCUUGUGAAGCUGGAUGCCAAUGCCAUGUCCUCACCGAUGUACGCUGCUGAUUCGUCGGUUCAAGUAAUUUAUGUUGCAAAAGGGAGUGGAAGGAUUCAAGUUGUUGGUAUCAAUGGUGAACGUGCCUUGGACACGAAAGUGAAGGCUGGUCACUUGCUUGUUGUGCCAAGGUUCUUUGUGGCUUCUGCCAUUGCAGAUGGUGAAGGACUGGAGUACUUCUCAUUGAUAACAGCUACAGAGUAGGCAUCAAUCUAAUAAAUUGUUUUCUCUUUAAUCAUCAUCGAUUGUAGGGUUAAUUACUAACUAUUUGUUAUUUGUCUUUUGUUUGUUUACAGACCUGUAUUUGGUGAAUUUACUGGGAAAACAUCAGUAUGGGGAGCAUUAUCUCCACAUGUUUUACAGGCCUCUCUCAAUGUGGCUCCAGAGUUUGAGCAGCUUUUCAGGGCAAAGAUCAAAAAGAGCACCAUUCUUGUUCCUCCACAGAACUAGAUUGAUUAAGAACCAAGGGCCCUUAUGAUGUAUUAUCAUUUGUUUUCAGGAGUUACAGGGCUGUUACAAUACAAUAAUUGUACUCCUAAGUGUGUCUUUUAUAUGUACAUCUGUGAGAUGGAAAAUGUUGUACAACUAUUAAUUAUAUGGCAAUAAGUUGUUCCUUUGUGUGAUCAGAAAAUCUAUUGCUGCAUUGAUUUUUAAAAAUUUCAAGAAAUAGCCUAUUAGAAGCCUUAAAUUAGGUUGUGAACCUUAUUGUACUCAUUGCGAGUGCGUAUUUGUCUAUGAGAGUGAUGGGUUCAUUCCCAUCAUUUACCUAAUUGACCAAUGAAUGUGGACAAUGCUAUCAUCUCUUUGCUUCAAUCAAACUCCGUAUGUAAACUACACGAUUCAAAUCAUCAUCAAUAAAUCUCCUAAAAAUGAAAGAGAGAUUUAAAUGUGCCUACUCUUUAUGGUCUUAUGCCAAUCAAAACCUACACAAUCAUUCAUGUUCUUGACACAAUAUCUCAUGUUUCUUAAUGAAUAUUUUAACUUCAUACAAAUUAUAUUUGUAUCCUCUAUUUUUGUUCAAAGAAUCUUUCAAGAUUUCUCUUAAAAACUUGAGAGGUGGGGAACUAAGGCUAAAAGGAUGACUAUAUUCAUGUGUAUGCUCUCAAUUCAAUAAAGUAAUUUAUUUAUUUUCAAACUUUGGAAGAUAAAUUUGGAGAGCUACAUCAUAUUGUAGACCACUAAUUUUUUCCCACAAAUACGGCAUGAGCUCAUUUUUAUGUCUUUAGGCCAUGUUUGAUUGACUAUAUAACAUGUAAUAGAAUAAGAGAAGAGAUAUUAUAUCUUAUCCCAUAUUUGGAUGGCGAUAAGAUAUGAUAAAUUAUCUCAUCACUUAUGCUAUCUUAUAUUCAACCAAACAUCGGAUAGAAUAAGUGAUGGAAUAUAUUAUCUACCUUUUUUCUUUAUCCCUUCUGUAUGAGAUAUAUUAAUUUCAUACUAAGAUAUGAAAUAUGUAUAUCUCAUAUAUCUUAAAUUUAUUUUUAAAAAUAAUUUUUUAUUUUUUUAUAUACUCAUUUUGCAAAAUAACUUUUUAUUAUAAAUUAAAUUCAUGAUUAAAAAAAAUAAAAAAUAUUAAUAUAUAUUAUAUAAUUUAUUUUUAUAUAUUGAAUAACAUAAUAUUAAAAAUUUUAAUUUAUAAAAUUUAAAUAAUUUAAUCAUAAAUAUUGUCAAAUAUUAGAGAAAUUUCAUUUUUUAAAAUAAAAAUUUUUAUUACAUGAUAUAAUUUUUAUUUUAAAUAUUAAAAAUAAUACAUAUUGGUGACUUUUUUAGUGAUAACAGAUGAAGAAUGAGUAGAAUUGUCAGGGAAUAGGUAGCAUAAAAAGAGGUAUGAGAUGACAAAGCGAUGGAGUGGUCAAAUGAUUGGUGAAAUAAAAACACCACUUCAUCAAAGAUGAUAUGCCGAGUUAUAUACAUUCUGCCAGAAUUGUAAUCUAAGCACAACUAACCUUUGUGAAUUGUGCUAGAGCCAAGAAAGAUGCAGUAGACUGAUUGACGUAGGAGUUUAAUUGUGUUUAUUAUAUGGGCGAAUAUAGGAUAUCAUCUUUCUUGGCUAUGUUCCCGGAGAAUUCACAUACUUCCUAUUAACCGGAACUCAAGGAAUCCUGGGAGGUUUUUCCACCGAAUUUAACUCUAGAGCCUAUAAUAUCAACAACGAAGAAGCCAAAAAGCUUGCAAAAAGCCAAUCUGGCGUCUUGAUAAUUAAGCUACCAGAGGGCCACAAAAUGCCCCACCCCUGCAAGAACAGUACUGAUAAAUUGGUGUACAAUAUUGAUGCUGCAUUACCUGAUAUUCAUGUCCAAAAUGCUGGAUUGCUUACUGCCUUGACAGCAAAGAAGUUUCCCUUCCUUGGAGAAGUUGGGCUCAGUGCCACCCUUGUGAAGCUGGAUGCCAAUGCCAUGUCCUCACCAAUAUACGCCGCUGAUUCAUCGGUUCAAGUAAUUUAUGUUGCAAAAGGGAGUGGAAGGAUUCAAGUUGUUGGUAUCAAUAGUGAACGCGCCUUGGACACGAAAGUGAAGGCUGGCCACUUGUGUGUUGUGCCAAGGUUCUUUGUGGCUUCCGUCAUUGCAGAUGGUGAAGGAAUGGAGUACUUCUCAAUGAUAACAACUACACAGUAAGCAUCAAUUUAAUUAAUGACUUGUUUUCUCAUGAAACAUAAUUGAUUGUGGGUUACUAACUAUUUGUUACAUGUUUUUGGUUUGUUUGUUUACAGACCUGUAUUUGGUGAAUUUACUGGGAAAACAUCAGUAUGGGGAGCAUUAUCUCCACAAGUUUUACAGGCCUCUCUCAAUGUGGGUCCAGAGUUUGAGCAGCUUUUCAGGGCAAAGAUCAAAAAGAGCACCAUUCUUGUUCCUCCACAGAACUAGAUUGAUUAAUAACCAAGGGCCCUUAUGAAGUAUUAUCAUUUGUUUUCAGGAGUUACAGGGCUAUUAAAAUACAAUAAUUGUACUCCUAAGUAUGUCUUUUAUAUGUACAUCUGUGAGAUGGAAAAUGUUGUACUACUAUUAAUUAUAUGGCAAUAAGUUGUUCCUUUGUGUGAUCAGAAAUUCUAUUGCUGCAUUGAUUUUGGAAAUUUAAUUCAAAGUAUAAGGCCAAAUAAAAGCCUUAAAUUAGGUUAAGAACCUUAGUGACAAGGAGUUGGGUUUAAUUUUGUGCACAAAAAUUUAUCCCUUCCUAAUUUUGUUAUAUAUGUGAUAUUAUAAAAGAGAGAUUCAUUUUCUUGUAAAAUUGGUUAUGAAUGUGGACAUUGCUCCCAUCUCUUUCCUUCAAUCAAACUCUUCAAAUGUAAAAUUAAUAUCACGAUUCAAACAAUUCUUAAUAAAUCUACUAAAAAUGAAAAAGAGAUCCGGAUGUGCCUACUUUAUAUGGCUUUAUAUCGAUCAAAAUCUUCACAAUCAUUCAUGUCCUUGGCACAGUACCUCAUGUUCCUUAAUGUAUAUUUCAACUUCGUAUUAAGACUAACAAAUUAUGUAAACUCUAUUUUUGUUGAAGGAAUCUUUAAAGAUUGCUAUUGAAAACUUAAGAAAUGGAGAACCAAGACUCAAUGGAUAACUAUCUUCUUGUGUAUACUCUUCAACUGAGUAAAAUAAUUUGUUCAUAUAUCACAUGCCAAUGAGAGAAAAAUUCACUCCAUCUUCAGUCAAAAUUUCUUGUGCAAUCCUCUUGUGUGUUCCAUUUGAACUUUGGAUAUUUUUAUUAUCUUCUCAAGGAAUUUUUAUGAUGUGCUCUUCUAGAAAUCUGGGUCCUUAUAACAUGCAGUUAAUUAAAUAAUUAGACAUUUUUUCUACCAUGUUGCAGUGUCUGAUUGCAUUACCUUUAAUUCAUACUAACUUUGGAAUCUGAGGAUGUUACUUCCGAGCAAAAUUGGUUGUACAAUCUUGGAGAGUGUCACACUCUACUCCAUGAACAUUAUCAACAGUACCAGAGAAUAUCAUGGAUGAUUUUUUGUACGAAAUAAUAUCUCUCAAUAUGGGUUGAAAUCUGUUAUUAUCAUUUGAUAGGGAGAGGAGCUUUCGGAUUUUUUUUAUUUUUUUUAUUUUUUUAUUUCAGAGCCAGAAGGGGAAAUAACCAAGAAUGCAGGCACCGCCAUCCCUCGUAGGACCCAUCUUGGCCACCCUCCCCAACAAAUUCAAAUUAUUACUUUUGUACUUUUGUUGAGAGAGACUUGGCCACCAUCCCUUGUCCAACUUGGUUGUAUUUCGAAAGGAAAAACUUAUAAUUUAAGGGUGUAUACAAGAUGAAUUUGAAAACCUAAAGGUUAAGAACCUCUAUGGACAAUAAUGUUACACGUAUAAAUUAAUUAAAAUAAUUAGAUGAUAAGGAAAAAAGUUUUUUCACAUAUGCAUACCAUGAAAAAGUGUAGGAAAAAAUAGAGUGAAUACUAAAAGAUUAUCUUUCAUUUUUUUUUUUCUAAAACAAAAAAAUAAAAAAUAAAAAAAUAAUAAUAAAAUUAAAAUAAAAUAAAAUAAAAUAAAAUAAACCAUUCCUCAUAAUUUUUUUCUUUCAUUUUUUCAUAAACAAUCAAAUAAAUAAAAAUUUUAUACUUUUUCUUUUGUUCUCUUUUCUUUCCUUAUUUUCUUUUCCUCAAACUUCUUGAUACAUACGGAGCAUUGCCUAAUGAUUUUAUUAACUCCUUAAAUGUAGUUUUUAAUUUGCUUUGUUGGAGGAAAUACACCCACAUUAUAUAUUCAAUGCAAGUUUGCACAAAAAAUCUUUAAAGGAGAAGGUAGUUCAUACAAUAGUUGGUCACAAUGUAUUAACUCAAAAUAGAAGAGAAUAUUCAUUUUCAUUCAUAUGUCUGUAGUGCAUUGAUACAUCAAUAUUUAUAGGGAUCAAUCUCAAUUAGAGUGCUUAAAAUUAAGCUCUAUCACCACUCUAAUGACUUAUCUACAACUAAUAUUGUACAACAAGAUUUACUGUCAAUCAACCUAUAAAUGAAAACAAAGAGAAUUAAGGAUAAUUAUAAUUAAUCAAGAAAUUUCAACACUUCCCUUCAAGUUGGUGCUUAGAUGUCACACAUGCUCAAUGUAUCUAAAAACUUUGAGAACACUCGAUUUGAAACCCCUUUGGUGAGAAUGUCAACCAUUGAGUCUUUUGAUUGAAUCUUGGCCAACUCUACAAUUUUUUCAUCUAACUUCUACUUAAUGAAGAAUUUGUUUACCUCUAUAUGCUUUGUUUGAUCAUGUUGAAUUGGAUUAUAGACAAUAUCACAUGUAACUUUGUUGUCACAAUAAAAUCAAAUUGGUUGUUGAGAUGGAUAGCCCAAAUCAUUCAAGUGCAUCCUUAGCCACAAUGCUUCACAAAGUCCAAAGGUCAUACCUCUGUAUUCAGCUUUUGCACUUGAGCGAGUUACAACAUUCUGUUUCUUGCUUCUCCCUAUAAUGAGGUUACCACCUACAAAAGUAAAGUAACCAGAAGUAGAUCAUUUGUCAUCUACUACUCCAGCAAGUUAGUAUAAAUAUAUACAUCUACACUUUGAUUAUUUGAAUUUUUAGUAAAUAAAAUUCCCUUUUCCAUAGGCAAACUUAGAUACCUCAAAAAGUAAAGGUAUUUUGCUUAUGCAUUGAGUAUUGUAAGGGUAUUUUGGGUAAUAUAAGGUAGAAAUUAUUCCAAUGUGCGAAAUGAGAAUUAUUUUUUUCAAAAUGGAUUUUCCAUUAAAAUGAAUUUUUUGGGUUAUCUUUUUAAUCAUAUUUUGUAAACAAUGCAUGCUUACAUAAUUCCCCCUACUUGUUUCUUUUUACCAUGUUGCAGUCUCUGAUUCCAUGACUUUUUCAAUAUCAUAAGGAGAUACUUUUCUUUUAGCUAUUACCAUCAAUACUCUCUUUGGAAGCUGAGAAUCUUAUUCCCGAGCAAAAUUGGUUGUUCAAUCAUGGAUAAGCAUUAUCAAGAGUACGAGAGAGUAUCAUGGAUAAUAUUUUGUAAGAAAUAAUAUCUCACAAUAAGGGUUGAAAGCUGAUAUGGUCAUGUGGUAAUCAGUUGAUAAGGAGAGGAGGUUUUGGAUUUAUUUUUAGGACCACUCUGCCUACCGACCCAUAAAAAUUCAAAUUAUUCAUUUGUAUUUUUGUUGAGUGAGACGUGGCCACCAUCCCCUCUCCAACAAUUGGCAGUAUCUUGAAAGGAAAAAACCAUAAUUUAAGGGGAAACACCAAAUUUAUUUUAUAUACACCAAAUUUUAACCAUGAAGAUGAAGAACAGAAACUAUUUUUGAAAGGUUGAAUUUCACCACACUUUACUGAUUGUUUUCUAAAGAAUAAAAAUAAACAAUACAUACUUUCUUUACACAGAAAAUGGAAUAUUACACAGAAUAGGUAAGUAAGAUUUCCUUCCAGCCUUGAUUUUCCACAUUACAAAUAUGGAGAGGCAGAUUGUGUUAUCAGCUGGCUGAUUUUCCACAGUACAAAUAUGGAGAGGAAGAUUGCGUUAUCAGCUGGCUAUGGAGAGGCAGAUUGCAUUAUCAGCUGCAGCUGGCUGAGUUGGAGUUUCCUUUAUCAGAGUUUCCUUUAUCAGCCCCCCGCAAGCUAGUGAGUGGUAACUUGUGCACUCCUAGCUUGAAUCGAAAGAAUUGGAAUGAAGUCUUAGGGAGUGCCUUUGUGAAUAUAUCAGCUACUUGUAAGGACGAUGGAAGGAAACGAGUAAUCAAAACUCCUCUUGCAACUUUUUCCCGAACAAAAUGAUAGUCCAACUCAAUAUGCUUGGAACGUGCAUGGAAAACAUGAUUUACUAUCAUGUGAAGGGCACUGAGAUUAUCGCAUAGCAAUUGAGGAGGUUCACGUAGUUGAAUGCCAAUAUCACGGAGAAGGAAAGUAAGCCAAGUUAUUUCUGCGGCACUGGAUGCAAGGGAUCGAUAUUCGGCCUCAGCGCUUGAUCUAGAAACUGUAGGUUGUCGCUUUGAGGACCAUGAGAUACAAUUGGCUCCCAGAAAAAUACAAUACCCAGAUGUGCUUCUUCUUGUGUUUAUGCAUCCCGCCCAAUCAGCAUCACAAAAACCAGUGAGACGAAGAGAACUUUGCUUGAAAAACCUAAUUCCAUGCUCCAUUGUUCCUUUCAAAUAUCUAAGAAUGCGUUUGACAGCUCGCAAGUCAGCUUUAGUGGGUGCUUGGAAAUGUUGGCAAGCCUUGUUUACUGCAUGCACAAUAUCAGGCCUUGUGAAAGUUAAAUAUUGAAGGGAUCCAACAAGUUGCCUAUAUUGUGUAGGAUCAAUAGGUUGUUCAUCAAAAGAUGUGAUGAUGGACUUAAGAGCCAUGGGUGUGUUGAUAGGAGUACACUCCAUCAUUUUUGUGUGCUCUAGGAGAUCUCUAAUGUACUUUGUUUGAGAAACAAACAACCCAUUAGGAAGAUAUUUAACCUCCAAUCCCAAAAAAUAAUGCAAAGAUCCUAAGUCCUUGAGAGAAAAUUCACUACUCAGGGUGUUGAUGAGGUCACUAAUGAUGUUGUUAUCAUUGCCUGUGACUAUAAUAUCAUCAACAUAGAUAAGUAGCAAAACAAUAGACUGACCUUUGCGAAGAAUAAAUAGAGACGAGUCUGCUUUACCACAACAAAACCCCAGAUGAAGAAGACAUUGGGAUAGUCUAUCAAACCAAGCCCUUGGAGCUUGCUUAAGGCCAUAAAGAGAGCGAUUCAAUUUGCAGACAUGAUUCGAAAGGUCCUCAUUUAUAAAUCCUGGAGGUUGUUCCAUGAAUACUUCUUCCUUUAGAAACCCAUGUAGAAAGGCAUUCUUAACAUCCAAUUGCCUCAUUUUCCACCCCAAGGUUACUGCUAGUGAAAAGAUCAUUCUGAUUGUAGUAUGCUUUAUAACUGGACUGAAGGUCUCUCCAAAGUCCAAACCAGGUAUUUGAGAAAAACCUCGAGCAACUAAUCGUGCUUUGUAUCUAUCUAUGGUUCCAUCUUCCUUCAGCUUUGUUUUAAACACCCAUUUAGAACCCACAAUAUUUGUAGUUGGAGGCCUAGGAACCAAAUCCCAUGUUCGAUUUUGGAUUAAAGCCUUGAUUUCCUCUUGCAUUGCUUUGAGCCAAUGGGGAAUUUUCAAUGUUGUACGAUACGUUUUUGGCUCACUAAUAUCACUUCUUGUGGCAGAAAAAGUAACCAUUUGAGAUUUUAAACUGGGAUCAUUCUUGAGUUUACUUCUGGUGAUCAUAUGAGUUCCUUUGUUAUCUGUGUGUUGGCCUUGAGGAGGAGAGAUGUCAACAACAAUUUGCUUGCUAUUAUCAGGAACUUCAUCAUCAGCACUAUAACUAGUUGAUUUGUUUUGCAGAGAUGGAUCAACAUGCUCAUUUUUCUGCCAUUUUUGAGGAAAAGAUAGAUCAACUACUAGGUGCUUACUGAUAUCAGGAAAAUUACUAACCUUGGCAGGCUUGUAGCUAUUAGUAGACUCAAUCUGGGAGAGUGUUCCAGUAGUAGUAGCAGUGUGGGAAUUGUGGUCACUGGCACCAAGAGCAACAUCAGUGGGAGUUUCAGUAGUAACGACAGUAUUAUGGUCAUUUUUACUAGCAGCAACAGUGGAAAUUUCAGUAGCAACAGCAGUGGGAGUUCUAGUCGAAUUAACACAUGAUGCUUCUGUAUUUUGGUUAGUAUUGCAACGAGCAGAAAUUCUUCCUUCAACACUGAACUGGUUUCUUUGCUCAGUAGUGCAUGGGCAAUGGCUGCACUUCUUAGAGUUGCUUGAUUGGUUAGCAGUGUUCUCCUUCCAAGACUUAGUUUGGUGAUCAAGUUUUGAAGUCUCACAAGAAGCAUCUGAAGUUGAGAAUGAUACCAUUUCUAUAGGAAUCUGUAAAUGAUUUUCCUUAACAAGAGAGUUAUCAUAAGGAAAACAAUUUUCAUUGAAAAUGACAUGACGAGAUAUGUAAACUCUUUUAGUUGAAGGAUGCAAGCAUCUAUAACCCUUGUGUAGAGAGCUAUAUCCAAUAAAAACACAUGGAUAUGUCUUAGGUGAGAAUUUAUUCUUCCCGUAGUCUCUAAGGUAUGGAAAACAUUGACAGCCAAAAAUUCUUAAGCUCCUAUACUCUGGAUAUUGUUUGAAAAGCAUAAAGAAUGGACUUUCCAUUUUCAACACCGUGGAAGGCAGCCGAUUAAUGAGAUAUACGGUAGUAAGGAAUGCAUCUACCCAUAGACUCAAUGGUAGUUUGGCAUUGAAAAGCAUUGUUAGACCCAUUUCAACAAUGUGUCUAUGCUUUCUCUCUGCAACCCCAUUUUGUUCUGGAGUUCUUGGACAUGAGACUUGUUGCAAAAUUCCACACUUGCUCAAGUGAUUUUGAAAUUUAAUUGAUUGAAACUCACCUCCACCAUCACUUUGGAAGAUUUUUAUCCGUCUUUCAAGUUGAUUCUCAACCAGAAUUUGAAACUUCAAAAAACAUUCAAAGAAAUCUGAUUUUCUUCUCAAGGGAUAAAGCCAUGUAUAGCGAGUAUGAUCAUCAAUAAAGACAGCAUAAUACUUGUAUCCUUGAGUUGAAUUAUUUGGUGCAGGUCCCCAUAAGUCACAAUGAAUUUUGUCAAGAGGAUUGCUAGAAAUUUUAUUUCUUAAGCCAAAAGGAAGUUUACAGCUUUUUCCUAACUGACAACUAACACAUACCGUUGCUAAUUUCAUCCAACUGGAUACCUCAAUGAAUUUCUUAUCUAGCAGAAGCUUUAUAGAUUUUGUUUGCGGAUGCCCCAUGCGUUGAUGCCACACUUCUGAUGAUGCCUUGCUAGACCUAGUAACAGUCAUAGCUUGAAUCACAUUUUCCUCCAAUGCAUAGAGACCUCCCUUCUUAGUUCCUCUGGCUAGCACUUGCUGAAGUUGAUCCUUAGUGACAAAACCAGUUGAUGAGAAUUCUAUGGAGCAUGCGUUAUCAGAGGUAAGUUGUCCAAUGGAUAACAAAUUUUUCUUAAUUUCCGGAACAACCAAUAAUUUUUUAAGCUUUAGAUCUCUAUGUUUAGUUUUUAGUCUGGCUUCACCAAUAUGUGAGAUUCUUAAAGCUUCUCCAUUUCCAACAAAAAUUGCAUCAUGCCCUUUAUAUGGAAUUACUUGGGACAUCUUACCUGGGUCAUUUGUUAUAUGGGCUGUUGCUCCAGAGUCCACAUAAAAAUUAGGAUCCUUUUCUUCUUCAUGUAGAGCCAUAGCAGCCAAAGCUUGAGGAAUCUCUUCUGAUUGAUACAAAUAGUCAAAUCUGUUCCAGCAAUCCAAAGCUGAAUGGUUAGCUUUACUACAAAUUUGACAAAUAAGAGUACCUUCAGAUUUUUGAAGUUUCUGUUGUGGUGGAAACUGGUUGUUGAAGCUAUUUCUUGGAUUUCUGGUGCUGAUCUGUUGUGGUGGAAACUGGUUGUUGAAGCUAUUUCUUGGAUUUCUGGUGCUGGAAUAAACAUUCUGCCUUUGGUCACUGGUAGCAUUGUUAUUGAAUCGUCCUGCUUGAGUGAAGCCACGACCUCUAGAAAGAAAUCUUCCUCCUCGAUUUCUUCCUCUUCCUCGUUGGGUAAAAUAGGCUUGUUCAUGGUUUAUUGACUCCUUGUUCUCUUCAUUUUCUGUCAUAAUCAUUUGUUCAUGCCCUUGUAGAGCCAGAACAAAUUGAUUGUAAGAAGGAUACGGUGGCUUUGAUAACAUGGCCACCCGAAAAUCCAUGUAUUUAGUUCCGAGACCUUGAGCUAGUUGAAAAACUUUGUCUAGGUCACUUACUGGUUUUCUAACUGCAGCUAAUGCAUCACAAAUGCCUUUAAACUCUCUUAGAUAUUCAUCAAGGGACCUUGUGCCUUUCUUUACCCCUCGGAGUCUGUUGGUCAAUUGUACUUCCUUCUCUUUCGUCAUUGGAAGGAGUUUUUCUCCUAGAGAGUUCCAGACAUCAUAGGCAGUCUCUGUUCCAUCCAACAAAAGCAUCACUUCUUCUGUCAUGAGUCCAAGAAGCCAGGAGGUAAGUAGACCAUCAUUGUGAGACCAUGUCUCGAUUGACUAAUCAUGGGUCUCCUUUGUUUCAGUACCCAUUGUCUCCUUUGAUGCGUGUCUAUUUUCAGAGAGAUGAUGGAUUAAUCCAAGGCUUCGCACAAGAGGAAGAACUUGUGAGCGCCACAAAAGGAGAUUGGACAUAUUCAGUUUGAUGGAGACGAGGCUUGAGCAUUGAUGAAAAGCCUGAAUGCUAAGAACAUUUUCUGGGUUUGCCAUGGAAGCUUUGGAUUGUUUUAGGUUAACCGGCUCUGAUACCAUGAAGAACAGAAACUAUUUUUGAAAGGUUGAAUUUCACCACACUUUACUGAUUGUUUUCUAAAGAAUAAAAAUAAACAAUACAUACUUUCUUUACACAGAAAAUGGAAUAUUACACAGAAUAGGUAAGUAUGAUUUCCUUCCAGCCUUGAUUUUCCACAUUACAAAUAUGGAGAGGCAGAUUGCGUUAUCAGCUGGCUGAUUUUCCACAGUACAAAUAUGGAGAGGAAGAUUGCGUUAUCAGCUGGCUAUGGAGAGGCAGAUUGCAUUAUCAGCUGCAGCUGGCUGAGUUGGAGUUUCCUUUAUCAGAGUUUCCUUUAUCAGAAGAUAAGAUAAGGACAUCUGUGAACAAUAAUGUUGCGUGUAUAAAUUGAAUAAAAUAAUAAGAUAAUGUAUGUUAAACGUGGAAAAAUGAUCAUACCUAGAAGAUGGGCAGCACCACCAUUCAACCUCUUUCUCAACUCUAUAUAUACUCCUGUAAUCUUCCUUGUAGUCAUAUGCCUCAGCCUUUCUAUCUCUUCCAUAUUAACCUUCAGAUUUCUUUCUAUUGUUUUCUCAUAAAAUCAAGGUACUCUCUCUCCUUAAGUGAAUUUUGAUAUAUGGCUGUUGGCCUCUCAUUGAUCUUUUAUUGAUUUCUCCAUCUUAUCAUUUCUAAGCGAGUAAUAUAUAUUAUUCAUUUCGGUCAAUUCCGUUAAUCUUUCCUAAGGUUUAGGGUUAAAUGCGCCGAGUUCUUGAUUAAUUUAAAAUUUUAUCAAAUACAUUUUUACCCUUUUCAUUUAUUAUUUUCACCUUUCUUCCCCCUAAAAUGAGAGAGAUAACAAAGGAGAGAUAUAUUUAAUCAAAACUUCAUUCAUGAGUGAAGAUGAGUGAAAUUAAUCCCGUAUUGACUAGCGAAACUUUUGUGGGCUUGUCCCACACCUGCCCUACAUCAUUUUCCCUUUUCUUUGAUUAAAGCUAAGCACACCCUUUUCAGAUCUACCUGAGCUUGAUUUAUCCUGAUGAUUUUCAUAUCUCUCUCCUCAGGGCUGACUGAAGAUACUUUUGUUCUUAAUUAAUUUGCUUUGUUGGAAGAAAUAUACAGACAUAUACCCAAUGGAGUCGAACUUAUCACCCAAGUUUGCACAAAAGGUUUUUGAAGGAGAAGGCGGAUCAUAUUACAGUUGGUCAAGUACUGAAUUUGAGUUGCUGAAGGAGGCAAAGGUUGGUGGUGGAAGGCUUGUGCUGCAGCCUCGUGGCUUUGGCCCGCCUCACUAUGCUGAUUGCAACAAAAUCGGUUAUGUUCUUCAAGGUUUGUGCAUACACAAGCUUUUAUCUCUUAUUAAUCUAGCUAGUAUUAGGUAUGCAACAAAUCAGCUCCCUAAGGAAAAAAAAUGGUUUUUGAAUGUGUAAGGUCAAAGAUGAUUGAGCAUUACUAUAAGCAAUGAGUCAAGGCCCCAAGAUGGGUGCGUUGUUUGGGACAACUCUAGUCCGAAUUGUAUACUUCUAGAUGAUUAAGCUCACGAUGAGUGUAACAUUGAACCACGUAAAUUAAAAAGAUUAGCUUAAUCUUGCGAACAACCAAUUGGUUUUUAGAUGAGAUUGCUAAAUCCUUAAUUCCAACACUUCAAACAACUUUCUUAAAUGUUUCUCUAAUAUUAAAUAGCAUGUUGUCAUAUAUCUUUAAUAUUGUCUCCAUCAAGAAUGAAGUGCUUGCUCACUUUACAAAACUUAGUUUAUUCACAAUAUAGUUUGUCCACAUGCAGGAACCUGUGGAAUAGUUGGGAUGGUAUUCCCCAAAGCAUCAGAAGAAGUGGUGCUGAAACUCAAAAAAGGAGAUACCAUUCCGGUGCCCUCUGGAGUAGUCUAAUGGUGGUACAAUCAAGGAGACUCAGAACUCGAUAUCGUAUUCCUGGGUGAAACUUCUAAUGCCUAUCUUCCUGGAGAGUUCACAUACUUCCUAUUAACCGGAACUCAAGGAAUCCUCGGAGGAUUUUCCACUAUAUUUAACUCUAGAGCCUAUAAUAUCAACAACGAAGAAGCAAAAAAGCUUGCAAAAAGCCAGACUAGUGUUUUGAUAAUUAAGCUAGACGAAGGCCAAAAAAUGCCCCAGCCAUGUGAGAACAAUAGCACUGAUAAAAUUAUGUACGAUGUUGAUGCUGCAUUACCUAAUAUCGACGUCAAAAAUGCUGGAUCACUUACCGCACUGACUGAGAUGAAGUUUCCCUUCCUUGGACAAGUUGGGCUCAGUGCCACCCGCUUAAAACUGCAUGCCAAUGCCAUGUCCU
rnacentral:lncRNA from 1 species